AAUAGUAAUAAUCAUUAUUAUUAUGAGUAGAGCUACUAUGCUAUCGGAAGCAUAAAGUGGUUAAUGCUUCCGAUUUUUUAGCCCUUAGAUCAACCCCAUUGAUCAUUUCUAACUAUUAGAUUAAUAUUAUUAACCAAUGGGGACCACUCAACCCUAGGGAGACCACUCAACCUUAAGAGGACCGCUAUCAUUUCAACCGUAGAAUUUUUGAUCCACGGGCUAAAAAAUCGGAAGCACCAACUACUUUAUGCAUCCGAUAGCAUAGUAGCUCUACACUUAUUAUUAUUAUUAUUAUUAUUAUUAUUAUUAAACUGUUAUAAUUAUUAUUAUAUAUUAUAAGAUAUUUUAAUAUGUUAUAAAAAAAAUAUAUAAUACUAGUGUAGUUAUCCGCGCGAUGCAGCGGGUAGAUAUUAUCGAAAUAAUUAUUUUAUUUAUUAUCAUUAAUCAUCGAUGAUAGCCUGAAAAAAUAAACCUGAAAUAUACAAUUUAUCAAAUAUGUAAAAAAUAUUACUCUAACUAUAAAAUAAAGAAUAUUAAUUUAAAUAAUCAGCAAGAAUCAAAUUGGUAAAAGAGCAACAAUAACACAAAGCUGCUAUAACUACUGCAAUAGCAUUUCCAACAAACCAUUAUCUGACUCAUUGCUUUCUUGGUGAGGUGGUUCAUACUUUUUUUUCUAUAUCCUAAAAGAAAGCAAGUAAUUUAUUAACUGAAGUAGACACAAUAAAAAGAAUUUUAUCAUAUCAAGAGGUAAAGUUACAGCAUGAAAUGUAACCACUUUCGAUCUAAUUUUUAAACAAAUUAAUUGAGCUACUAAUACACCUUAGGAUUGGUGGAUAAAAUACUUGGCUUGAAAUCAUAGAUUCAAGGGUUUGAGCUUCCGUGGCUUAGAAAACCUACAGACGUCAAUGUGAAUUAUAUGAAAUGCUCUAUUCACAUUAUAAAAUAAAUAAAAAGUAGAGGCGUAAGUAGGUUGCGUCAGAUUAGUCUUAGGAAUUGCUUCUAAUAUUUUUUUUUCUUAAAGAAAAAUUAGAUGUAUACUCAGAACCUAUAAAGAGAAUGGAAGAGAAGAGCACGAUCCAAUUUGGACUAGCUUGAUAUUUUUUCAUAUUUAUAUAUUUUGAAUCUUACAUAUAUUUUAUAUCAAAUUAAAAAUAUAUAUAUAAUUAGUUAUUCAAAUUAUUCAUUUUUUAGCUCCAAUCAGUCCGUAAAUAACUAUUGCCAGUUACGAAUAAUGGGCCAAAAAAAUGAUCCAAUUCUUAUCAUAUUUUGAGCACGAAAAUUCUAGUUGGAAAGAGCCAUCAAAUUCUAAAAAGCUCAAAAUAAAUAAGUAAAUAAAUAAAUAAAUAAAAUCAAAGGCCAUUUUAGUCGAUUGUAAAUUCAAGUUUGGAAAGCUUUUAACCUGCACAUAUAAAAAAAAUACUGACCAGAUAUUGGCAUCACCACCACGGGCACCGCCACCACCAAGGACGCGGUCGCUAUCACCAUAGUCAUUGUCGGCAGUAGCACCGCCCUCAGCCUCGAUGCCGCCCAGCCCCCCUCGGCCCGCAUCUCCCAUCGCCCUCCGGUCCUCUAAUAUAAAAUUAACUCUUUAAAAAUAUUUUAUUAGAAAAUUGCUAACUUUGGUUGUGGUGAUAUGUUCUUACUUGAUAAAGUAAUAAGUUUGUGAAAUUAAUAGAUUUGGUGCAAAAAGAAGAUGAAGGGGUGGAAGUUUAUGCUUAAGAGAGGGAGAAGGUAAGGUACACGUUGUAAGGAGAAGAUGGAGGGGUGAGAGUUAAGCCGAGGGGAAGAAAUUAUAUAUGUUAAUUAAUUAAUAGAAGUUUGUGAAAUUAAUAGAUUUAUUGAAAGAAGAAGAUGGAGGGGUGAAAGUUUAUGUUUAAGAGAUGAGGAAGGUAAGGUAUAUGUUGCAAGGAGAAGAUGGAGGGGUAGGAAUUAAGGCAAGGAAACAUGGGCUGAGUUUAAAAAAAAAAACUUCUAAAAUAAUGUGAUUGUGCCACAUCAGUAAGAUUAUUGAGAAAUCAUAUAUGUUAAUAGAUAACCAUAAUUUUAUAUUACUUUAAUUACUUUAAUAAGCCAAGAAUAGCAUAAAAUAGCUCUAUUCCACUAAAAGUAUGGAAUAACUAUUUUCGAAUCAUUUUAGAAUUAUCUAGAACAAUCCGAUUUGAUCGAAAUAAUUUUUUUUACUUUUUUUUUUUUUACACUAUUCGGCAGAUUAGUGGAGAUAAUUUUUGUUAUGUAACCACCAAUAGAAUUUUUAUGGCUUAUAUUUUUUUUAUUCGCCUUGUCAAAUUUUUUAUUUAACAUUUUAAAAUAGAAACACAAAAAAAAUUUAUAAAUUCUUGGAUUGUCAAUAUUCUUUUAAAUUUUUUUAUUACUAAAAUUAAAAAAAAAAAAAAAAAAAAAAAACUAAAAUUAAAAAAAUAAAAUUUUCAAUUUUUUAGAGUACAUGUUACACCUGUAUCAUUUGCGCAUUAAAAUUUACAGAGAAAAAUUGAGGGCGAUUGUCGACCGACCCAUCGCACCGAUUUGACUAUUUUACCCACCUCUCUCUCUCUCUCUCUCUCUCUCUCUCUCUUUCUCUCUCUCUCACUCCGAUUCCUUUCCCUCCUCUUCUUCGUACGCUCGCUCUCGCCGCGAUCGAUCUCUCCUCGCUCGAUCUCGGAAUCGCGAGGGCGAGGAUCCAUGGAGGCGUCCUCAUGGGACGCCCUUCGCAAGCAGGUGAUCGAUCGAUCUCGCGCUUUCCCUUUCCUCGUUCAUUGAUUUUGGCAUUCGAUCUGUUUCCGUGGAUUUGAUGUUGUUGUUGGACGAUUUGGUCCAUGUACUCGUUGGUUCUUGGAUUUUGUAUCGAAUACGCCCCGGAUCUGGCCCUUUGAACCGAAUUUGGGAGCGGAUUCGAUUGGAAUCUAGGUCAAAUUGUUGAGUAUUGGGAUUUGUUGUGAAUUGAGAUCUUUAUAUGGAAACGUUGCGUAUGUAUGAGAAAUGAGUCUAAUUGGAUUAAUUAGGUGAGAUAUGGAAGUUAACAUGUAUCUUGUUAGGUAUGCAGAUCCAUUUAUUUGUCAUCAUGUUUCAAUGCCAUCACCGUAUUUCAUCUAUGUGUUUGCCAUUUUAAAGAAUGAAAGAGAGAAUAUUGGCGUCUACUUUUGGUAUGUGGAAUAACACCCUAUGGAUGCGUUUUGGGGUUCUAAUGGACAAUUUGUUCUUGAUAUGUCUUAUGAAGAGGACAAUGUAUGCUUCUUGUGAAUAUUUGAGCUAAACAACUCAUAAUAAUCAUGUCUCUGAUUAUUUGAAUGCAAAGAAGAGCUUGUUUAGGGUGUGUUUGGAUUAAUUAGGUGAGAUCUUUAUAUGCAAACGUUGCAUAUGUAUGAGAAAUGAGUCUAAUUGGAUUAAUUAGGUGAGAUAUGGAAGUUAACAUGUAUCUUGUUAGGUAUGCAGAUCCAUUUAUUUGUCAUCAUGUUUCAAUGCCAUCACCGUAUUUCAUCUAUGUGUUUGUCAUUUUAAAGAGUGAAAGAGAAAAUAUUGGCGUCUACUUUUGGUAUGUGGAAUAACACCCUAUGGAUGCAUUUUAGGGUUCUAAUGGACAAUUUGUCCUUGAUAUGUCCUAUGAAGAGGACAAUGUACGCUUCUUGUGAAUAUUUGAGCUAAACAACUCAUAAGAAUCAUGUCUCUGAUUAUUUGAAUGAAAAAAAACAGUUUGUUUAGGGUGUGUUUGGUUCACUGUAAACGUAGGCCGAAAAUAGUUUGGGUCUCUAAAUAAGGAUUUAAGUGCCGUGGCACAAGGUCAUGCCGGAAACUUACCGGCAUGGUACUGAACCAUGCCGAUGCGUGCCGAUCACAAAAAAUUUAUGUGUGCUUACACAUAAUAGCGUGAAAUUUUUAUUUUCUUUAGCAACAAAAUAUUCUAACUGUUUAUUAUAUAUUUUUGUCAAAUAUUUUAAACUUUAUUGAGAAAAUUACUUACUAAUUUAAAGAAUAGAGAGUUUUGAGUUGUUCUAUCGGCAUAAGGCUGUAUCGUGUCGAUAUCUUGUUGACACAAUACGGUACGGUAGAUACGGCUAAUGCCGAUAGGCAUUUAAAUCCUUGUCUCUGCAAGUAGUUUUUUCGCUGUUCAUUUCAACAUAAAACUGUUUUCCACAUAAAACAGUUAUACAAAUUUUGAAGUGAAAUUGGUUUUUUGUUUUUGGCUUCUUAAAAGCAAAGAAUAAAAAAUUCUCAUCCGUGGCUUUGGACGGGGUUAUUUAAGGAUUCACCAAUGCCUCAAUCUUUUAUGUAAUAUAUUAUUAAUUAAUUUAAUUACUAUCUUAGUGUUUUAAGAAUCAUAAGAUUACCAUUGAGUAAAAUGUAAGGUGAAAUGGUUACUUACGAUACUGUUACUUAUUAAAUCUAGUUAUGAUAAAUUAUUAACACACAUCUACUGAUAUUUACUUAUAGAAUUAAGUAUUAUAUUAAAUUUACAACAACAAUAAAAUAUAAUUAUCAUCAGAUCAACUUUACAUGUAAUCAGGUUAACAUUACAAGAAUAUUUUUAUUGAUAAGUUGAUUAGUAUCUAAUUACUAUAUGAAGAUUACAAUAACAUGAACACUUACGUCUGAUAAGAUUAUUCACAAAAAAUCUAAUCGCAAAAUUUACUCAUGAUUAAAAUCUAAUUAUCAUUUAGAUAUAAUAAUUUUGUGGUAAAGUUAUUACAUUUAUUUUCUAAUUAAUUUAUACUCACAACAUUAUGAGGUUAAACUUAAUUUAUUUAUCAUUAUUAUAUUAUAAUAAUGUAAUAAUAUGAAACUUUUAGUCAUUAAUCAUUGAGCCUAUUCUAAUCAAAUUAUGAUAAACCUUUUUUCAUUGUUUUUCCUACAAACCAAACAUGCAUAUCCAAAGAACUUUUUUUUCAUUUUCAUUGAAGCAAACACUAGCAGUUGUGAAAUUUCUUGUCCAUGGAAAAUCUUUUCUGCUGGAAACUAUUUUCAGAAGUUUUAUAACGAACCAAAUAGUCCCUUAGGUCUGAUUCGGUAUUGUUGUCAUUUUCUUUUUUUCUUUCAAACACUGAUUUUAUAUAAUUUGAUAUACUAGCGGAAGGACUUUCCUCUUGUUGUUGUUGUUGGUUAACUUGCAAUGCGCAAUAGCCAAGUGGUGGGUGACAACCUUUUUUAAAAAAAAUAUUGAAAGCAAGAAAAAAGAAGAAAAGUUGCUUCGAAAAUUUUAUUUUGCAUGAUUGCAUCGCCAAACGGACAUCUUGGUCGCAAGGAUUGCAAGCUGUCCACUAUCCCCUCCUACACUUUCAUACAAAAAUUCUAUUUAAAAAAAAUAAAUCAAAAUACAGCAAUGAUGCCAAACGAGGCCUUACUUUUCCAUUGUCAUAUGACAUUUGUUGUCGUGUUAGAAUCCUGCAGACAACUUGUUUAGCCUUCUAUAUUUUGAAAUGCUGAAUAUGUAAAUGCAUUGCUAUAUGAAAUAUUGAAAUGUAAUGGAAAGAUUCUCUAGUGAUGCUAAUGCUAUAGACUCUCUGCAUGUAUCUCUGUAACCUUGUGGGAAUGAUCAACGAACAUCUGACAGCAAGAUUGCUUACUAAUCUUGUAGUAAUAUUGUUAUUCAGCAACGAUUGAGUAGCUUCAUUUGUUUCUGGGUCAUUGUUAAAACUUCAAAAGCUAGAGCAUAAGGUGUUGUUGCUAUAUGAUCUGGUUGCGUUGUUUGUUGUUUUGCUAAAAUAGAAUCUAUAUUCGUUUUCUUUGUAGGCAAGGAAACUUGAAGCUCAGAUAGAUGACCAGAUGAAUUCAUAUCGUAGGUUGGUUGCCACCAAACCUGAUGGAUCAGAGAAUGACCUUGAAUCUGGUAUAGAGAGACUACUGAAGCAACUUCAGCAAGUGAAUACACAGAUGCAAACAUGGGUAUCCUCAGGAGGGUCGGAAGUUCUUUCUCAUACCUUGACUCGUCAUAAAGAGAUUCUGCAGGACCUUACACAGGUAUAGUUGCUUCUUACCCAAUAAAUCAAAAAAGUGAAAUAGGAUGUGAGUCUUACUUUCAUAAGGAAGGCUAAUAAAAGUGGAACGUACACUUCUGUCAUGGAUUGCCCACUUUUCUGUCAGGUCCUCAAUUUAAACAUCUUAAUUAUUGGAGCCCUGGCAGGAGUGCAAAUCUUUGUGAAUUAGUGUAGAAUAAGCAAGCUAAGGUUAAACAGUUGCUUUUGGCAUGAAACUAUAUGCAGGAAUUUUAUCGUCUUCGAGGAAGCCUUAGAGCUAAGCAAGAACAUGCAUCCCUCCUCCUCGACUUCAGGGAUUUUGACCGGGCGAAAUUGGAUGUUGAAGAGGGUGCUGGUUCGGAUGGGCAAGCUCUUCUCAGAGAACAAGCAGUAAUUAGCAGAAGUUCAGGACAGGUGUCAUUAUUCUCUUAUCUAUCAACACUUAAAUUUAUUUCUUUUUAUUUUUCUCUCUGCCUUGGAUAUGAUGCAUGAAUAUAAGUUGGUGCACACACAUAUGGAAAAAGCUAUAGCUAAGUACCAUUCUGUUAUGUUAAUGUUAUGUUUUAUCUAUAUGGGCUGUUUCAUUUAUCGUUAUUUGAAUAUUAUUAAAUACACAGUGUAAGAUCCACAUUUUAUUUAGUUAAUUUUUAUAUUGAUGGAGGGUUCCAACUUUGUGAAUCAACUUGUCACCUCAGUAUUGCUGACCGUUCCUAGCGUAAGUGGCAAAUGACUUGAUAACUGGUACUUGAGGUUCCAAGUUCAAAGUCUAGUUGCUUUACAUUUUCAGUUAAGUUCAUUUCUAAAAAAAAAAAAUGAAUGAAGUGGGUAGCAAGAGAUAAUAUAGAUUUUGCUGAAUAAAGAUUAAAGAAAAGCAUUAGAUACUGCUAAUCUAGCUUUAAGCUCCUAGCCUUAAAACCUUCUAUAACAUAGAGGCAAACGCACUUUCCUUUUCCAUAAACCUUCUUACGCUUGGAAUGUUAUAAUUUAAACUGCGUUAGUUUUUUUUUUUUUUUUUUUUUUUUUUACCGAUAUCACUGAACCGAACCAUCUACUCAACCCUACCUCUUUUCUUGAUAUUAACUCUGCCCCAUGUUGAUCAAACUCGCCCAAUUUUCCCUAUAGACUGAUGUAUUGUGUGUAAACUGUAUCACAGAUGGAUUCUUUGAUUUCGCAUGCCCAAUCAACUCUCGGAACACUUGUUCUUCAGCGCUCCACAUUUGGCGGCAUCAGCACAAAGAUAACCAAUGUUAGCAGCCGUCUUCCGGGGGUAUGCACACCGUGCCUUCUUGACCCUCAAAAGAAGAAGUGCUCACUUGAUAGUGUUUAUUUCCACUCCCUUGGACAUUGAUCUUUAAUUGGUAUAAUUGUACAGGUGAAUCAGAUCCUCUCAUCAAUUAGGAGGAAGAAAUCGAUGGACACCAUCAUUCUCUCUCUUGUUGCCUCCGUCUGUACAUUUCUCAUUUUCAUUUACUGGUUGUCAAAGUAAGGCAUAAAAUUGACAUCGCCUUGGAUUCAAUCUGUAAGUGCGUAUUAUUCUAGUUUUUGUUUGUAUUGCAACUAGAGUUGUCACACUGUUAUAUGAUAUAAUGAUCGGCUUCUGAAGUGCCCUUAUAGGACCAUGUAUUCUACCUUUCUUUUUGUCUUUCUCUGGGACAACUCCGUAUAGUUUCUUUCUUUCCAAUAAAUGUGUACAGUAGCUGUUUUGCUCAGCUUUUGACGUAAAAUUUACGUUCGAGAAUCAUGACUUGAUGUGGUUUUUUGUCAAUUAAGUUCUAAUAAUCUGUUGUCUCCAUUAGAAAUCAGAAAAGUAAGCUCAUUUUGGAAGGUGUGAUCAUCAGAAUAAACAACUUGGAUAAUCAGGUAGUAUUUAUUGCUGUUUAUGUGAUAAGCAAGUUUGUUUGUUUUUGUUAGCAUUAGUUCGUCAGUUUAAAUGUAAUUUUUGCAGUUCUGUUGGAAACUCUGAAGAAGUAUAAUUCUAUACAUUUUUGCGCGCCUUGCUGCAUUGUCUAUAUGCAAAGUAAGUUGCAUUUUCUUUUUCUUUUUAUCCUUUUUUUUUUUUUUUGGAGAGAUUGAAAGGUAGCAAGCUAUCUUCAUUGUUCUUUUUUUUUUAGCAAAUUAAUUCAACUAGAAAUGUGAAGUAACUGGGCUUUGAAAUUGAGAUUUCGGACACCAACCGUCAAGCUCUUAGCCAGUAACUUAUAUAUAGAUAGAUUGGGCUACUAUACUAUUAAUAGUACCAAAUUGUUUGUGUUAUUAAAUUUUCAGCCCUUGGAUGAAGGGAUAUGCGGUUAGGAUGAUAGUGAUUUUCUAGGGUUGAGUGUGUGGUUGGUUGAAUAGUAUGAUCUAACGGGUAGAAAUGAUCAAAGGAGUAGAUCUAACGUCCGAAAAUUUAUGAGUAUAAAGGAGACUAUAUUUAUAAGAGUAUAAUCGCCAGACUCAUAUAUGCUAGGACUGCUAUAUAUACUCUUAUGAGUAUGAUCCUUUUGUACUUAUAAAUUUUCGAUCGUUCGAUGGAGAGACGUGCAUUUAGAAUGAUAGUGGUCUCCGAUUAGGAUAAUAGUGGUUCUCUAAGAUUGAGUGGUUGGUUAAAUAGUAUAAUCUAAUGGAUGAAAAUGAUCAUAAGAGUAAAUUUAAGGGGGAAAACUUAAUUUUAGCCUACGCGCUUGUGCUAUUAGAAACACUCUAGCCGAACUCUCUCUCUCUCUCUCUCUCUCUCUCUCUCUCUCUAUAUAUAUAUAUAUAUAAUUGAGCUAGAAUACUUUUACAAGUAUCACUCCCAUGGUGCUAUUAGAUUUUUAGCCAUUGGAUCUACUUGUUGAUUAUUAAUAGCCCUUAGAUCAAACACUAUUCCAUCUACCACCACCUACCACCAUCAUCUCAACCUCACAUCUCUUCAUCCAAUGGCUAAAAACUCAAAAGUACCACCUUCAUGGUGCUUUUGAGAGUAUUCUAGCCCAACUCUAUAUAUAUAUAUAUUCUGUGUUGUUAUUGUAUAAUAAGGCUUCAAUAUGUCAACUAGUUUUGCCGCCAAAUGCUCAAUCUGAUGUUAGAGGUGCUGAUCGAUAUUUGUAAGAAGGAAAUGUUAAAGGAGCAGAAAUUAUUUCCUUGACAAAAAUGGCUGCUUCUCACCAAGUUUGAAGUGCUGAGUAACUCAGUUGGCUUGUAAUGCUCCAGACCAUUAUUAUUCUGAUUGUCGCUUCCUAGGCUGANGGCUCAUCGGUUCACUAGUCGAACAGUCGAUUCCAAUAGUUCAGAGCAGGUUUUUGUCUUAUUCGGCGAUUCGAAUGGUUCAGAGCAGGUUUUUAUCUUAUUCGGUGUAAACGACUGAUUUGAGUUAUGGUCGAAUUGGCCGAACCAGCCGGUUUUGACCUGAUUUUUAAAAUCUUGGUUGCUACUAGAUUAUGCUCCCAGUAAGGGAGGAGUAAAAAUUGAAAAAUGCUACUUGCACACCUCCAAUCAGGUUGUAUAUGUUACACUCUAUCUAUUCAAUAAAUGGGGUUGAACUACUAGUUACAUCAAGUGUCUAGUAAAAACAUCUCAUCUAUUGGAUAAAUAAAAUGUAAAAUAUACAUUCCAAUUGGAAUGUACCCUUGCACUUUAUUACAGACGAUGCAAACUUUCAAUUCAAUCCUCUGCAGUUAAAUUGUGCCUAAAAUGAAGGAAGGAAGACUGAAUAAGAGAAAUAAGUUGAAAAUUAUAGGGUGCAUUCACUUUAUAGGAUGCUUUAUGAUAAGCACAUAAAUAGGCCAAAGCAAUGCUAUCUUUGUUUUAUAGGUGUAAAUCUUACACUCUUAACUUUUUAAAAGUUCAAAAUUUACUCAUUUCUCUUAUCAACCUUUUUUUUUAAUACUAAAAAUUCAAGAGAGUUUUUAAACUCUUAAUAGAUAACAGAGUAUUAUAAAAUGUACAACUUAUUAGUGUAACAGUAACACCCUACAUUCAAAAGAUAAAGACUUAAAUACUAAUAGAAGUAAACUAAGUUGUCUCCAUGUUGUUUUCAGCCGUGGGGUAUUAAAUAGACAAUUAAUUCCGUUAAAUAUAAUUUAGCUACUUGAAUAUUUUAAAAUUUAAUUUUUUAAAUUUUUUGUUAUUAUUUAUUGAGUAAUUAAAUGAUCUCAAGUUCACUUUGUACUAGUUGCAAACCCACAAUUUGCAGUCAUUCCGCUAAGAAGUUAUAAAUAAUUAUAUUAUUUUACACUUCAAUAAUAUAUAAUUGAUAACAAAUUUUGUAUAGUUGUAUAAAUAAAAUAUAUUUUUAUAUGAAGUCCGAGUAUGUUACUUCCAAGAAAUAAAGAAGGUGGUGCUUCCAAAUUUUUAACCCUUGAAUCAACCUUUUUGAUUAUUUUUAAUUCUUGAUAUUAUUUUACUACGGAAACUACUCAACUUUAAGAUAGACCACUAUUAUUCUAAUCAUACAGUUCUUGAUCGAAGAGCCAAAAAGUCGAAUGCGCCAACUCCUUUAUACUUCCAAAAGCAUAGUAGCCUUACACUUUUAUUUGUAUAUAUUUAGAUAAAUAUCUAACCUGUGCGGGUAAAAGUUGGCGCCCGUAAUAGACGCGACGAUAGCGCUGGCGAUCACCGUCAUAAAAUUUUCGUUUCAAACUUGACAUUUAAAAUUUUAAACAUAUAUUUUAAAUUUGACUGUAAAUUUUAAAUUCAAGUUUAUUUUUAAAAAUUUAAAUUUAAUUUAACUUCAGAUAUCAUAUUUAUUUUUACUUUAGAUUUAAAUUUUAAAUUCUAAUUCUCAUUUUAAUUUUGAAUUCAAAUGUAUUAUACAACCGGUGGAGGCAAUAGUUUUUCCAUACUUUGGACCUUUAUACUUCCAACCAAUGGGCAAGUUCGGAGCCUGUUUGUCUUUUUUUUUUUUUUUUUCUUUUUCUUCUUUUUUUUCCCAGUUGAAAACUUUUGCAUUUCCCUUCUAAGAAACAUGUUUGAUAGAAAAUCUAUCAUAUUUGUAUUUGGAUUCGAAUAGAUCUGAUUUAUCGAAGAUCUUAAAUAACAACAAGAGACUAGCUUAUAACUUUUAUAGUUUCCGUGGAAAAGGAGACUUACUCUAUAGCCAUCAACAAAAAAUAUCUUAUAAAAAUAGGAAUAAUGCUAUGGGUAUCUCAAAAGAUAUCUAUAUGUAUUGUCGAUGAGUCAAAUUUUAACAUGACAGCUAAUUUGGAUACCGGUGUGCCAAAUUUGUGAAAUCACAUCACGAAUCUUUCCGCCUAAACGUCCAUCGCUAACAUUUGAUCCCUCACUCUCUCUUGUUAAAUAUAAAAAUAUUUAAAUACCGUUCUCUAAUAGCUUAAGAUUUUAUAAUACAACGAUUGUUUUAUAUAGUAUCAGAGCAGAAGGUUCUGAGUUCGAGUCAUACAAGGCUAAAUAUAAAAAUAUUUUCUCUACAUUUUCUCUACAUUAGACCACUAUGUUGAGGACGUGUUAUAGCUUCUUCGGAUCUUCGACGUGGAGUUUAUUCGCCUCGACGACUAGAGAAGGCAAUAUUUUUCCUCUGUUUUUCUUUUGGCCUUUUUAACUAUAGAUUAUUUUGAAGUAGGUCCCUCACAAUUCUAUUUUUUGAACCUUUUUUUUUUCCUAUUUAGGAAGCUUAAUAGAGUUCUUCAAAUUUGCUACAAGGGUUUUAGAAGUCCCCUUUCCAUUAACUAUUCUAAAAGCCUUGCAGCAAUAUUUGAAAAACACCAAGCUUUCUAAUUAGGGAAAAGAAUAUAUAAAUAAACAGAAAUCGAGGGACCUACUUCAAAAACAACCUGUAGUUAAUGAGCUCCUUAUGUAUAUAGUUCUUAAUUCAGCAGAAAAGUGAUAAAAAUAAGCCAAAAGAAAAUUAGAGAGAAAAAAGGGGAAAAAAAAAAAAAAAAAAAUUAGAGGAAGGUGGUGGCAGAGGAGAAAACCUUUCUCACCAACGUUCCAGCUGGUUGCCUUCAACCAUCCAUCUUCAUAGCCUUCGACAAGACGAGUAAGCUCUGCACUGAAGAUAUGAAGAAGCCAGUAAAGCUCUGCUCUAUAAAGGUCUGCAGAAGGUAGCACGCCCUCAACUUUUGAGUUUUGGGAUACAUGGUCUGACGUCGAGAAUAUAUGUGACUAGCCACAUAAAACCCCUGGGAGGAAGCAGAGAGAGGUGUCACACACCCUAAUAACUUCACCUUAAUAAUAAUAACUGGACUUAAUCAUUUUGGACCAGUAAUUUCAGCCCAACGAAUUAUUGUUGCUAGUGGACUGGAUCGUUACAUUUGGUAUCAGAGCCGGUUCACCAGCCGGAAGUGUGAGAUGAGUCUUGACUGAGCCAGGGUCGGUGAAUGACAGGGUAAGCCAGAGUCGGUGAAUGACAGGCUAAAUCAGUGUCGAAAUGAUAAGACUAGCGAGACAAGUCUCACAUCCCCUGAUAAUCUUGGACUAUGUCUGUUUACCCCUAAAUGGGAGAAGUAUAAAAGAACUCCACCCUAAUAAUAACAACCGAGCUUAAAUAUUUUGAACUGGUGAUUUAUGAAUACAUAAGAGAACUCCACCCAAUGAGUUAUUAUUACUAGUGGUCCGAUAGUUACAAGGUGGUGAAGAUGAGUAAAGGACGUUUGAGCAGGAAAAAAUGUGGGAGAUUACGAUUGGCAUCCGACCCGAAAGAUUUGUAACACCACUGUUUAAAGCAACUGGAAUUUAAAAUUGAGCACUCCAAAUCAGCUCCCAUAUCAAAAUCUGAGUCGUCGACAAUAUACAUAAGUACCCUUUCAGUGACCCAUAGUAUUACUCAAAACAAUAAACAUGAGAGAGAGAGAGAGGGGGGGAGAGACUAAACCGAAAUACUUCCUUUUUUUUUUCACGCAGACAAGUGCUACAAAAUUUCAUAUUUCUCGAAACAGCCUGUAGCCUAACUACGUUACCGACUAAAAUAACUUACGGUAAACAUAAACCCAGCUACCAGAGGUCUUGCAUAACAACACAUGCCAAAGGCCAAAGGAAACAGGUAAUGCUAAACAUUACAACCCCUACCCCCCUACCCAAAGCAUCUACAGUGUCAGUUAAAUCGUCAACAUGACUAGCAGCACCUGGGCGACCAGAUAGGCGAUUUCGGGCGAGAAGCAAAGCAAAACACUGAAGAAUUGCCUAUCCACAAUACCCCAAGAAACUGUAAACAGCAUGUAUUUACCUGAGAGGAAAAAAGGAAAAAAGAAAAAAGAGAAAAAAAAAAAGGGGAUGGGCAAAGCAUGCGUCGAAGUGCCCAAUCAGCUUUGGCUCUUCCUCCGCCUCUUCUUUCCUGUCGAAGCCCCAAUUACCUGUGACUCUACUUUUCCAGUACUCGCUCUCUUUUGGGCCCGGAGCUUGCCUUUCCCGGAGGAGCCAUUCGGAACACCCUUUGAUUUCUGUCGAAGGGUUGGAGUUUCGGCGCUGGAUUUACCUUUAGCUGCAUCUUUGCUGGAACUGGCUACAUCAUCCUUUGAUUUGUUCGUCUUCUUUUGGGUUUCAUCCUGCGACCUUCCGCCGGAUUGAAGGGCAAUGCCCUUUGCACGGCUGCGAGUUCUUGAGACAUCAUCAUUCGACUUGGCGGAGUGAUUGGAGCUAUCAUCCUUAGACUUGCGCGUGCGUCGCGGUGUCUCAUCCUUAGACCUCUCGUCACCUUUAGGAGUCUCUUCUUUAUCCUCACUGACAGCCUUCGACCUGCUUUUACGUUUCGGAAUAACUCCUGUACGCAUGCUGCUGAACUCAUUGCUACAGAACAAACACCCGAUGGAAACAAUUGAGAUAAAGCACUUCAAUAGGUCGAUCUAUUAGACAUUGUUUACCACAUCAAAUGCCAAUUACCUGCUCGGUGUCUGCGUCUUUGCUUUUUUUGGUGCACGACUGGAACUUGUUUUAGCUUUUUUACUUGGCGGCCUGAUUGAGGGGUGAUGGGUGAACAAAUGAGGGGAAAAAACAGUUUCUUCAGUUAGGAAAGAACAGCAAACUAUUAGGUAAAAUCCUUUAAACACAGAUUGCAAGAGAAAACACUCACAUUUCCGAUGAAGCAUCAGGUCUUGGAAGAUCCUCCGAUCCUCCCUGCUAGGAGAAGAAAAUAAUGGAACUUAAAAUGCAGAGAUCAAUUAUAGAAAUACUUGAUCAUGGUGCAUCGAACUAGUACCUACCUCAUCUGCUUCUGUGUUGCCUUCAAUAAGUUCCCAUCUUUCUUCCUUAAGCCGUAAUAUCUCUACAUCACCAUCAUUAUAGACAAUCUGGACGCAUCAAAAAUCAUUUCAGAACAGAAAAAAUACUGUAGAAGUUAAAAAGGUAGUCAAGAACAGCAAAUUAAAAUCAGCAGACCGAUAAAUUUACGCACCGUAUGCUUCUUAGAAGAGGGAUUAUAUGAAUGAACCACACCAUCAUAGAACCUGCAGAAGCAGGAUAAAAUUUAGCAUAUGAGUACACGUAACAGUAGAUCACAGACUCAAAGUAAGUUCUAAAGAACAUGAUUAUAAGAGAUCAGCAGGGAAGUCUGGCAUACGCUUUAUCAGCCGGCCACCAUACUUUAAUCAUGGAGUUAACAAGACUCUCAUCAAGAUCUUUUCUUUGUUUCGAUGUAGAGAUCUGUCACAUUUGAAUAAUUAUAAUUAGAACCCAGAAUCAUGUACGAUGAAAUCUUAGUGAAGCACAUAAAAUAGAAUACCUUUUCUGUCCCUCGACCAUGGUUCCUCUUUGAUCCACUUCGAUUUCUCAGACUGCCAGAACCAGCUUUCUGCACAGAGCCCGCAAAAAACAAAAAGAACACCAAUCAUCUAGAGUAGUUAAAAAAUUGACUAGCUGCAAAAAAUUAAGAAGGAUGCAACGAAGACCCCGAGAUCACAAAUCAACUCAUGAAUCAGAUAAUACUUUCUAUAUGUCAUUUUAAUGAACUAAAUCCUCCUCUGCAGCGUGCAUUUGAGUAAUGUCCAUGAUGAGAUGCGGCACUUCUAGUUCACAGCUACAAGUUUCAAAGGAUCUCCGAGGAAACAACAUGGCCUCAAAAAAUACGUAAGAGAGUUAAAAUGCAGAAAACCCCCUAUCACAAGUUGCCCUACACUCAUGAUAAUCAAAAUCUGCAAAAAAGAAACACCCCCUCAGCUGCACAAUUAUCACAUAAACCCCUUCUGUUAGUCUUCUGGUAGGGUUCUUCUAGAAAAAAUAAUAUAAUAUUUUUAAAAAUUAGUAAAUGCCUAAAGUUCAUUUUCUCUUCCCGAAACAUCAGAGGAGACGGUGAGGAUGAGGUAAUAGAAGAAAAGAAGGACUAGAAGGACGUGUGGUGGAGGGGGCGGCAGUGAAAAGAGGAUGUGGAGGAUGGACACAGAUGGUGAUGAAAAACAGCUGGAGGACAGGGAGGACGAAAUCACAGAGGCGGAGAAUGGAAUGGAGGGAAAGGAUGCGAUGGUGAGGAGGACGAGUGCUAAUCAAAAAAGUAGACAAUUUUCUCAUUAAAUUGAGGGGAUUUUCAAUAGGUUUUCUUAUGGAGAAAGCUAUUUUAACUCGCAACAUUUCGAGACGGUUUCUGCAUCUACAGCCAUGAAUUAACCAUAGAAAGGCUUGGAAAUAAGGGUGUGCAAGCAUAAACUGAGGAGCAAAGAUAGAAGAAGAGAACAAGAAAAAGAUGAAGAGGAGAGAUGCAAUAAGAGCAACAAUCCUCAUGUUUUGUUAAACAAGUGUGAUUUAAACCAAAAUGACCGAAGGAAAUAUAAAAACAUGAACCAUGAUAGGUGACACUCCCUAUCAUGCAACAUACUUUACGAAUGUUUGGAUGUAAAUGAAGCUAAAAGAAAUAUAUAUAUAUAUAUAUAUAGAGUCCGGCUACUAUGCUAUCGGUAGCACGGAGCGCUCCGUGCUACCAAGUUGUUUUCGAUGAUGCGGCUUCCAAAUCGACGAUCGGCUCCGUUAGACUUGAUCUAUACUAUUGAAAGUAUUUGGAAACUAAAAUUUCAAAUUUUUUCGACAUCAUUUGACUACUGAUCAAAAGAUCUCAAAAUUGACAAUUUUAAUGGCCGAUGUGGUGUGUUUGUGAGUUUAACGGUGUAAAACAAUUCAAAUGCGAUGCAAGUUUUAUAGAAAAUUCUUCUCACUAUUUCGAGUAAGAUCAGUAUAUCUGAUCUUGAAUUUAAAUCUUUUAUCAUCAUUUUUUAUGAGAUUUUUAUUUUCAGCCGUUCAAUUUUAGACUACUUGUUUGAUAGGUAAAUGAUAUCGAAAAAUUAUGAAAUUUAGUUUCUAAAUACUUUCAAUAGUAGAAUCAACUUCUAACGGAGCCGCAUCGUACGAUUUGAAAGCCGCUAUCAAUCGAAAAACUUUGGUAGCACGCGCGCUCCGUGUGCUACAUAGUGAUAUAGGUAGACCUACUACUAUAUAUAGUAUAUUAUAUAUAUAUAUAUAUAUAUAUAUAAUAUAUAUGAAAUAGGCUACUAUCUAUAACUAUCUAAGUACCGGAGCUCCGUACUAUAGUCUUGUUUUCGAUCUUAGGGUGUUCAAAAUUAACGAUCCACACCGUUAAAUAUGAUCUAGGUAUAUGAAGUUCUUAGGAAAAAAAUUUUAGCUUUUUUCGACAUCGUUUACUUAAAAAAUAAUUAUGUCAAAAUGGACGGUGGAAAUUGAAUAAUCUUUAAAAUUUGAGCAUAGGACUUUAAUCAAGAUCAAGAAUGCUAACUUAAUCUAGAUAGUUUAAAGUAUUUCUCUAUCAAAAUUGAAAAAAUUUAGAUUCUUCUACACCGUUAAACUCCAAACUCGCCAUAGUAGCCAUUGAAAAUUGAAAAUUUGAAAUAGUUUGAUCAUAAAAUAAACUAUGUCGAAAAAAUAUAAAAUUUUAUUUCUAAAAACUUUAAAUACCCGUAGAUCAUUUUAACGGUAUGGAUCGUUGAUUGAACACUCUAAGAUCGAAAACGAGACUAUAGUACCGGAGCCCCGGUACUAUAAUAUAUAUAUAUAUAUAUAUAUAUAUAUAUAUAUAUAUAUAUAUAUAUAUAUAUAUAUAUAUAUAUAUAUAUAUAUAUAUAUGUCAAUCGCAAUAAACAAUGAUUUCGCUCUUAAGAAAAACCAUUCAGAGUUGGUAACGAGAAAGUAAAACAUGCAGGUAAAUGAAAGGUUCCAACAAAUAACAAGGCUAUUAAGCAAUCAAGAGUGGGGCAGAAGGAGAAUUACUUCGAGAAAAUGGGAAGUGGAAAGGCUAAAUAUAAAUACAAAGGAUUAAUUAGGAAGGCAAUUCCGACCUACCUCAAUACAAUUACUAGAUUUCAUUCAAGCCAGCAGCAGGCAUAUCCUUCUUAAGAACUAGAUUCUUUGUCCACAAAAUAUUUAUAAUAUAAGCAAAACAGAGGACUUCCUGAAUGAUGAGACAGUUUUACAUAAGGAUUAGCAAUAAUCUUAUAAUUACCUUCAAACUGAGCUCUCCAGCUGCAUCUUCAGAUUCACUUGUUUCCUUCGGCUGCUUAUUAUUAGACUUUGGUUGUCUACGUGAUGAUUCUGUGACACCAUCCUUGACCGUGGAACCGACUUUAUCUCUACGAGUCCGAGUUUUUGGCUCUGAAUAGACUGCACUACCAGCCAAUAUUUCACCAACCUUUUUGCUUCCCUUCUUACCCGAGUGUCUCAAGGGCUUCUCUUCUGAGUCGCUCAAAUCUUCUGAAGCCUUCUUAGAAUCUGGACCUUCAGAAGAAGACGUAAGCUGGUCAGACGACAAGUCACCUCCACCUUUCUUGUCAGAUAUGUCUGACCCAGAAGAUCCGUCUCUUUUUGGUGGAUCUGAAUAAACAGUUCCAUCAUUAGCACUUGAAGGAAGUUGAAGAUGAUCUUUAUUGUCAGUAUCCAAUGGCAUGGGUGACUCUGCUUCUUUAUCGGAUGGACCAUCAACUUGUGCACUAUCAGCUUCUCUUCCAUGGUCUUCUCUACUGCCGGGUACUAGUGGUGUUUCUUUCUCGUUAUCAGUCCUAGAACCAUCACUCGUCUCAGUUAAUUGAGUAGACAAAUUAGAACUGCGGCCUCCCAUUUUCUUGGCGUUCAGAUCUGAUAAACUAUCAGGCUUCGCCACAGCUGACUCGACAUUGUUGGAAUCAUCUGUAGUUUCUGGAACAGUACCUUUUGACUCAACACCACGACGAGAUUGUUCAGGCUUCUGUUGAGGUGAAGUUGGUUCCACCACAGAUUCACCAUUACCUAUUGGAACAGUACCAUUGGUCAUCUUUGAUUGCGAUGACUCGUUUGCAAGGGUAUCAGAUUCUUGAGGACAACCUACUUGAUCCAACUGUGAAGAGACCUGACAUUCAUAAUUUAUAAAUUAGAAAAAUGGAAAAAGAAAUCUAUAAGACAUUUAUGAUUCAACCAUAAAGCUGUAUUUUAGUCACAGUUACAUGCCUGAGGUAGCUCAUCAGAAACAGCCCUCUCAGAUAGCUUAUUAUCAUCUGCCUGAAACACCAUAAAAAAACUAACUUAUCAAAGUCUCAAUCAAUAAAAGCAACUAUAAUUACAAUAAGAUUUUCAAUGCAGAGUCAAAAGGAUUAUAAAUGUGUGGUAGCAAAUUACUGAUAACAGUUAGAUGGUUUAAGGUGUCAUAAUGACCCUUCUCAGUUCAAGAAACUAAGUCCGAGUCUGAAGUAGCAAGUUAGCUCAAGAGUACACGACUGAGAAAUCUCUGAUAUUAUAACUCAAACAACUACAACUACAGUUAGAAAAAGGCAUCUGCAUAGUCUUCCCCAUUCAUUCAGUUAAACAAUACCCAGAGUCGACAACUAUACAGCAUAAGCUAUUGAAGAUUUAAACUACCAUAUGGAUUUCCAUCAAUUGCCACAUACAAUGGUGUUUUCCCGUGGUGGAGAAAGACUCGCAUUCUUCCCAGAAUCAUUUACAUCGGUGCGGUCCGUAGCAUCAGAAUUCUCUUGGCGUAGAGAGCCAACAACCUUGCUAUAAUUACUUAAGGGAGUGUUUUGGACUAAUUUUAUCAAAGCCGGAUUCAGUUUUACACCACAGUUACGAACGACUUUCUCUGCAAGUCUGAAUGCUGUAGGAUUGAUUUCCUGUAAACAAGAAUAAAAAGAAUUGUGAAAAUCAUAUAGAUGGUUGCAGUUGGAGAUUAAAGCAUUAUAAGGAUGGAAACCUACUUUGCUCUCCUUUUUUAGACUCUCAAGAAGGCAAGAGACAAGUUCUGCUGAGAUAUCUUCACUCUCCUCAAUCACAAGUGUCAUUAUAGUCUCCAUUGAUGAGAAGACAUUUUCUGGAUGGUUCGACCUGAAAUAAAUUCAAUUGCCCUUUAGUAAUAAAUUAAAAAUAAUUAGAAACAAUUGAAAAGUGAAAAAAAUAUAAAAGAAAAAUGCUGACAACCAAAAAUUUAUAGUUUAUAUAAUAACCAGUAGACUGUAAAACCAAACAAAGAAAAUUUCGAUUAAAGAAAUUUAACUUUAGGAAAGCGCCAGCUAACUUGAUAAUUAAAGCUCGUACAAUGUAUCCUGGUUGCAAUAGUUUUAAGUCAUGAAAUCAAACCACACAAAAAAGCAGGUAGAUUUGUAUAUAUGCUGAUCUCCACAAACAAUGAUAUGCAUUUGACCUCCCAAACUAUUUUCGAAGAAAAAAAAAAUACUCCCAAACACAAGAAUUGAAUCCAAACAGUGGGUGGUUACUUCUCUUCCAAUUAGAAUUCAAUCCUAUAUAACUCAGAAGAAGGUACAAAGAAGGUACCAAAAUUGGCCACAUUUUAGCUUUCAUUGUGAAAGAAUUAGAAUCUAAUUGAUAUGUCACCAGAUUAAAGUAUCCAUGACUAUGACAGAAGUUUUAUUUUCAACCAAAUUAUUGCCGCACCUGCAUGUCCUAUAUGUAACGACUCAGGAGUUGCAUCAAAUUCACAGGUAGAAGAAAAGGAGGUAACGUUGGCUAGGCCUAACCACUAAGUGGUGGCAUAAGAAAGAGGCUAUUGGCUUCACAGACACUUUUGACAACGAGCAAAAAAAUUGGUUAUAAGCAAACCGAAGAUCAUUUUAUGACAACAAUAACAGGCACAGCUGAACAUUCAAUAAUAAGGAUUAGAUACAUCACCUUAACAAAUAAUAGAGGAUAUCAUGUAGAACCUAAAGUGUCUAACAUAACAGUUACCUUUUAGGCUUUUUGUUACAACAUCAUAUAUGACUAGCAUUACGUAUCUGCUUUAUCACUUGAAUUUAUCUCUUUCGAUGGCAGUUUAUAAGAAGUUUGCUACCUCUUCAGAUGUUUACCAGUUAUGCUCUAACAAAGCAGCAAGAGGCAUCAUUUCUUUUACUAUUGAUCAGCAGCAUUCAUUGUAGACUUCCUAUACCUAUUGGCGUACAGUUGCAAUGUCAUAAAAUAUUAAGAGGGACACAUACUAUGGAGAUAGAACAGCCUGUCAGAAAUUUUUCAUAGUGGCUAGUCUCAAGACUUAAGCAUGCAACAUCUACAUUAUCAAGUAACGGUCCUUGAUCUCUAAUUUGUUUUGAUUCAUAGCUAUGUAGCAGACAAUAAAUAUUGCUGUUCCGGUCUCAUUUUAAUUGAAUCCCAUGUACAAACAAGGCAACAGAUGUUGCUACUUUUAGAUUAACGCAACUGCCUCAGUAGAGGCUAGGUAUUCUGAAUUGUCUGCCCAAUGGCUGGACCACUUGAUAACUUUAGCAGGAACAAAAAUGUCAAAAUAAAACUGAAAAGGCAUUAAUAGACCUUAUUACCUUAUGGAAUUCAGGAAAUGACGAAACAUAUGUAGAAUUAGGUCAUCACAUUCUAGAUCCAACAUCACAACGCACGAUCGAACCUUUGCCACAGUUUCAAGAAUUGAAACCCUCUUCAAAUAUAAGGAACUGGACAUAUCAUCCAACUUUUCAAAUGCUUCCACUAUUCUCUGAAACACCAUCUGAAAUUUCAGAAGAAACGGUCAAACAAACUUAGCUCAAUGAGUCCAAAAUGGCACAGGAAUUCCUGGCUGCAAUUAUGACAGUGCUGACCAAGGUGCUUAAUAGUAGAUACACAAAAAUAUUAGUGGUUUUAAGAAAUAAGUAAUUGAACCUUCAUUAAAUCAUCAUCAUAAGGAGCAUCUGGUGCCGUUAUUCUCGUGAUUUCACUUGCACAUGAGGCCACAGAAACUCUUACAUCUGCAUUAGGAUGUCUCAAAAGCUCUUCGGCAACUAGGGCAUUCAUUGCAGGACGAAUUGCAUUUAUCAUCGAUUGAGACGGUGAUUGUUCCACCUUCAAUAACAAUCUUUCUGCUCGCUGUAUUUAGAAUCGAACAAGCUAAGAUGUUUUGCAACAGUAGAUGAUGUGCGAAAAAUAAACUGAUUAACUACAACGGAUGCAUAAAAUAAUAUAUCAUUAAAACCUUUAAGAAAAAAAAAACUAACUUCAGCAUGUGAAUAAUACGCAAUUUAUACAAGCGUCACUGCUACCAUCAGGCAUAAAAUGUUUAAUUCUCAGGCUUUGAGCACAAAUGUAAAAAUGCACAAAAGAACAAAACAAAUUAACAUAUAGACUAGCAUUAGCAAAAUAUUAGUAAAAGCAAUAAUAAUUUGCUACCCCAGAAUAAACAUAAUAAGUAAAAAGAAAGAAAAGUCUUGCCCAAAGGAAGAAAACAGAACUGAUUAAAACACACAAUCAUUGGCAACAAGAAUAAAAAAAGAAAAAUCAGCAUCAAAAGACAGAUUAUCCCGUCUGUUAUAUUAGUUCACUCUUAUUGUAGUUAUUUCCUACUGAGUUUAUACACUUGAAACCAUCCUCCCUCCACAAAGUUUCAAUCGAGCUGAACAAAUAACUAACAAAGAAUGAGAAAGUUUAAUUCCAUUGUCUAGCCCAACAAUUUGCUUUCGCUACGGUUUUCAAUGAGAUACUACCCAAAUAGCCCCAGCACAGCUCGUUCCAAUUAACACGCUGGCGCAUGCAGUUGUCUUACCUCAACCUCUCAUUGGAAAAGUUUCUCCUACUUAACAGUGUAUAUUGUUCAACAAAGCACAACUACUAAAACUGUUAAUAUAUAAGCACACAUAAAGUGAAUGGACAACCAAAUAAAGCAUCGCAAUCCACAGCAAUCAACUUUCAGUUUCCGUUUUCUUGGCUAAAACAGUGUAAUCCAUCAUCAAAUUUAAAAAGUACUACAAUUAUAAUACCAGGGAAAAGUUUUGCAAAGGCUAUAGGAUCUAUCCAAUGUUCUUGCUAGUAGAUUCGAGAAGUUCUACUUCCUCAGAACAAAACUGACUCCGCAUGUAUCUACUAGAAGAAAAUGUAAUACAAAUCUAUAGAACAAAACAAUAUUGCACAAUAUCAGUCUCUGUCGCUUUCAAUUCUUCCGAAAAUGAGAUCGAGCAAGCAAAAAACCACGUCCGCACAUGUAUUGCAACGCAACAUGGUGACAGCACAUACGAAACUACAAAGAAAUUGAAACCCUAAUACUCUAAACACAGAAAUAUACAAACAAUCGAUAUCAAAACAGAGCGAAAUCUUUAAUCCAAGAGCAAAAGCAAAGGAAGAGUGCGUAUAGAACGAUUCACGUAACGAAAAGAGAGCGAAGAGGACUCACAUCGAGAAGAGGGAGGAGCUCUUCGACAGAAGUCGCCGGCGAGCGGAGACGAUCGCCGAUUUUACGGAGCCGAUCCUCGAGUCCCUUAUCCGCGCUCGCCAUCUCCCCUCCGGAGAUCACAGAUCCCCUUCCUCCGCCACCACCAAACUGAUCGAAACCCUAGAAAAACCCUAGAAAUCCGGAUCCGAACGCGAAUCCACCGAUCGGAGGACGCGAUCGAGCGAAUCUACGGAAGAGAAAACCGCAAAACGUCCACGGAUUUAGGGCUCCGAUGGAUUUCGCAGCUAGGGUUUCGAGAGGAGCUCGCCGUUAUUUACCUUCUCCGACCUUUUUUUCCCCCUUUUUUUUUUUUUUCUCUUUCGCUUUUUGGAUUCGCAACGUUGUGUUUCUUUUUCUCUCCCCUUUUUUCCUGGUAUUUUUAAAUCCUUUUAAUUUACAUUUAUUUCUUAUUAUAUAUAUAUAUACAUGUGGCACCCUCGACGUACGUGAAGAGUAAUAAGGCGGAUUCGGCACGGUUUAUUCACUGGAUUUUACCGAGGGGCCUCGCGUCCGCGAACCGGGUUUUUCUCGGCCUUCGGUUCCAGCGCGGAGAGGACAAAUGUUUUCCCUGCACCGAGUGUACGAUUGCAUUUCAUAUACCACAUAUUUAAAAGUAAACAAGGAUUAAUUGCACUCCAAUGUCCAAACAGGGUCUUAAUAUUUAUAAAAGCACCAAUGAUAUUUUACAAUUUGAAGGAGUAUUUAUAAAAUUACAACCCGUCACGAAGAAAUUAACCCUUAAUUAAUUUUGUGACAUGCAUUAAGGUGUAUUAAGUAUAUGCAUAAACCGGGUGCAAGGAGUUUUUUCUGUUGAGAGGCGGGAAAUAGCCCACGCGCCCUUCAGUCACCCCCGGCGAACUGACUACUGUGGCCUUCGUGCCCAGUAAAAAUAUAUGGAAGCGUAGACAUGUCAACGGAUUGGACUCGGGAUGAAUUUUUAAAAAUUUGAAUCCAAAUCCGACUUUAAACCUAAGAUCUGAAUUCAAAUUCGAAUCCGACAGAUUUUAAAAAUUUAUAUCUAAACCUGACCCGAUCAAAAAUUCGAAACUCAAAUCCGAACAAUUAUUUUUUUUUUCAAUAUUUCAAAAUAUAUUACAUUAAAUCUAAAUUUUUAAAGUUAUAUAUAUAUAUAUAUUUAUUUAUAUAUAGUUGGACUGGGCUACUAUUAGUAGCAAAAUCUCAUUGUUGCUACAAGUUUUUUAGCAUUUGGAUCAACUCUUUUCAUUAUUUCUAACUAUUGGAUUAAAUACUAUAAUCCAGUGGGGACCACUCAACCAUAGAAGGACCACUCAACUCUAACUGACUAAUAUCAUCCUGACCCUACAAUUUUUCAUCCAAGGGUUAAAAAUUUGAUAGCAAAAAGAGCGUUUUACUAUCAAUAGUAUUCCAGCCUAAUUCUAUAUAUAUAUAUAUAUAUAUAUUAUGCAUAAUAAAUUCGGGUUCGGGUCGAAUUCGGGUUCGGAUCAGGUAUCGUUAAAAUUCAUAUUCGAGUCCAUAUCCAUCGAAUUUUUAUUUUUGAUAUUCAUAUCUGAAUCAAUAUCCAUUUAGCAUUAGAUAUACCCGCUUCAUUCGGAUUCGGAUUCGAAUAAAAUUUCGAAUAUCCAUACCCACUACUAUCAUAUAUCUUAUAUUCUUUUAAUCCAAAAGUCAUCAUUUCUGACUUAUCGCGGACACGUGCGCCGGCAUACAUAUAUCUAUAUUAUGUAAAAUUAAAAUUUAUUUAAAUUUUAUAAAUUCUAGAAUUCCACCCGUAAGAUAUACAUCCCUAUACCCUGUAAUUGGUGUACAAAUAGUAUUUUAUUCAUAAAAUUUAGAGAAAACUUCAAAUACCCUCUUGUGGUUUCACUCUUUCUCACUUUAGUAUCAUGUGGUUUAAAGUGUAUCAAAUUAGUACCCUGCGAUUUUGCACUUUCUCACUUUAGUACCCUAUGGUUUAAAGUGUAUCAAGUUAGUAUCAUGUGGUUUCGCACUUUCUCACUUUAAUACCCUGUGGUUUCGCACUUUCUCACUCUAGUACCCCUAUAGUUUAAAAACCAUAGAGUACUAACUUAAUACAAAAAUAAAAUCACAGGGUACGAAUUUGAUAUAAAAAUAAAACCACAGAGUACUAACUUGAUACACUUUAAACCACAGGGUACUAAAGUGAGAAAGUGUAAAACCACAGGGUACUAACUUGAUACACUUCAAACCACAAGGUACUAAAAUAAAAAAAUGCGAAACCACGGGGGGGUUUUUUGAAGUUUUUCCUAAAAUUUACCAAACUAAGGACUAUUGGGCUAAUUACACUUUUGGUCCUCAAACUAUGAGGCAUCUAACACUUUGAUUUUCAAAACUUUAAUUCAUUAUAAUUUAUUGCUCGAACUUUUUAAAUUAUUACAAUUAAAUUCCACAACCUAUUUUAGCUGACUAAAUGUUGACAUAUUGAUAAUGUAGAAGUGAUGUGGAAGCAUUCUAACUAAAUUGGAUUGUGAGACUUGAUUAUAAUAAUUUAAGAAGUUUGAGUCAGAAAUUAUAAUGAAUUAAAGUUUCAGAUUUAAAAUGUCAUAUCGCCCAUUGUUUGGGGACCAAAACUAUAAUCUACCCAUGGCCUAAAAUUAUUAUUUAUUUAUUUAUUUUAAUUUGUUUAAUUUGGGUCUAAGUCAUAUUUUUGGUUUUUCAACUAUUAGACACAUGACACUUUGAUCCUCAAAAUUCAAUUUACUAUAAUUUCUGGUUCAAAUCUUUUGAAUUAUUAAAAUCUAUUCAUACGAUUCAAUUUAAUUAACUAAAUAUUAAUAUAUUACUAAUGUAAAAAUAAUGUACUAGUAAUAUACCCCAUAAAAUGAUAAUAAUUAAAAUGUCACAUCAUUAUGUAGAGAGCUCUCCCGCUUUUCGUAUAUAGAGUAAUGCUAUGGGUUCCUCAAAAAGUAGCCAUGUAUAUUGUUGAUGACUCAGGGUCUAACAUGACAGCUAAUUUGGAAUACUAAAUUCAAAAUUCAAAUUGUUUCAAACACUGGUCAUGCAUGUGCCAAAUUAUAUCGCUAAUUUAUUCUGCUCGAAUUAUGAAAUACCAAAGAAUCAUCAACCAGAAGUGUGAAACGAGACUCGACAUGAGCCAGGGUCAUAUAGCGGGUGGAGUACGGAUCCCCGACUGACAAUCAUUGUGGGUGGCACGCAGUUCCCCAUAAGAUCAGCUAGGACUAGCGAGACAAAUCUCAUAUUAUUUGUGCUUAUAAGUAUAUUUGAGCCUUAUAAAAACGUCAAAACUUAAAAGGAGAAGAAAUAUAACACCCCUAAUAUUUGAAAUAAUUUUAUAUAUAAGAUAUACUAUGGCUGAAUAUUAUAUCUUAUAAUAUUUAGCCAUAUUAUAAGAUACAUGGGUACCUUUUGAGGAACCACUAGCAUUAGGCUAGUUUUUAUAAGACAUUCUUUGUUGAUGGCCAUAAAGUAUAAGUGUCCUUUCCCAUGGUUAAUUAUAAUUGUGCUUUGCAUUAGUGGAUCUGGCUAUCUAUGGUGUGUAUUAUUUGUUGUGAUAACCUAAUGUGCACUCCGUUAGUUGGUUAAUGUAAUGAUCUAGAGCAUGUUCGGCUCACGAUCAGAAUGAGAAAUGAAAUUGAAUUGUAUCAGAAUGGAAAAUAAGAAGAUAAACUGGUCGAAAAUAUUUGGUAUAUUAUUGAAAUAAAAAUCAGAACGGACAAUCGAAACACUUAGAAAUCUAAAAGAAGAUUUUAGUUAAGAGAGAGAAGAGUAAUGAAGGAAGAGAAAAGGCACGUGCUUGUUAGAAAUAGUUUUGAGCGGCAUAUUCUGAAAUAAACAAAUUCAGGAUUUAAAAUCGAAUUAAGCCAUAAAUGGAUUAGAUCAUUUUCAUUCAAGUGUAGUAUACAAAUCGAAAUCCGAUAUCUGUAAAAUAAACAACGAUUAUCAAAAUCAAUAAAACUUAUUUCGAUUUUAGAGUCUAAAGUAGGUGAAUCAAACAAAGCCCCUAAAAUAUUUGUUUAUAUACGCUGAUUGGCAUUAUUGUCUUUUUUAUUAUUAUUAUUACUUUUUUUUUGGCUGCAAAAUAGUUGGGAAAUUAAUUAUUGUUGUCAAGUACAAUGGCAAUUUGGUUAUUUGGCUUGAUUUCCUGCUAAUCUGGGUUAUGCUGAAGAGGUUAAGUUGAAGAUUAAAUUGCAGGAAUGUUUAGGGUAUGUUAGUUUCACGAAAAAUUAAAAAAAAAAAUCGAAGAAAAUUAAUUUUUAGUGGAAAAGUAAUUUUAGGAUCCUUCGACGUUUAUUAGUUUGCAUAAAAGGAAACAAAUUGGUUUGUAGGGGAAAAAAAAAAAGUAAAGAGUAUUUUUAUUAUUUUCUUUUAUAAAAUAUAAAUUCAAUAUUUUAAUAUGGGAUUUAUAUAGUAAAACUAUACUUUCUAAUUAAUUAAAAUAAUAAUUUAAUAUUUAUAUUAUAUUAUAUUAUAUAAAUAUUAGUUAUAUAAUAUUAUUUUUGCAUGCAAUUUUGAUAAAUUAUAUAAUUUCAAUUAUGUAAUUUACUUCUCUAUUUUCACGUGGACUUGUGUGAGCCACGCUUUGCUUUCGUUUUUGGCUAGGUUUAAUUUUGCUAUCUAACUUUUUAAUUUAUUUAAUUUAAAUCAAUUUAAUUUGAAUCAGUUCAUAACUAUUUAACUUUAAAAUUUAAAUACAUAAUAUAUUUUUACAAAUUUAAUUAACAAAUUUUAUAUAAUUGGUAUAACUAUAAAUUUAUUAAAAUAAGCAAUUAGCUUAAAUUUUGUACCAAAAAGUCAUUAAAUGACUAACAUCAAACAAAUUAAAAUGUUAGGUACUACUGCCAAAAUUUUAAAAGGUUAAGUAGUCAAACCACAAUAGUCUAUAAUUUAAGUUUUAUACAUUUUUACCGAAAAGAUAUAAAUGCCUCUGUUUACUUGUAAAAUUAUUCUAAUUCUAUUUUUUUUUAUUUGUUGUGUUUCUCAUCUCACUUUGAAAUUAUAUACAAUUAAUGAAAGAAAAGGAAGGAAAAAUGCAUGGAGAUCACCUCAACUACAAAACAUUUUGAAAUUAGACCCUUUCUAUAUAUAUUGACAGUAUUAACUAAUUCCGAUUAUUUUGCAUUAGUUAAUGUUAUGACAAACGCACAAACGGAAACAAAAUGACGAAUACGAAACAAUCAAACCACAAGCAGAAAAUAAGAAGAACACAUAGAUUUACGUGAAAAAUUCUUUGCAGGAAAAAAUCACGGGCGAGGGAGGAGAGAACUUCACUAGCGAACGAAAAAGAAAAUACAAUGUUCAGAUGAUACAACCAACCACGAUCUCACGCCUCUAGGGCAAAAACGAAGAGGAAAACUCUUAACGGGUUUCGAAUUCGGCCUGUCGGCCUGAGCCCUCCGCUAUCCAUCACAGACAUUCAUUUUUCCUUCACAAUUUUACUUUUCCAAUUUGGUCGCACCGCGAAGCUGUUGACGAGUCGAAAAUUCGAAUUUGAGUCGAUUAUCAAUUUCGAGUCACAUCUAACAGUUAAUACGGCCAACAUGUUUGCUCACAAAAUGCAUCUAAGAAUCAGCAAAAACACAAUAGCUUGUGAAUUAAAACCACUGAUCUCAGCUAUCACAUGAUCAACUUUAUUAAUUUGCUGGAUAAUAAUGGAAAGCAUGCAUGAAUUCAGCAAACAUCACAUAACACCAAGAAGAUUCAACAGAAGCACAGUACUUGGCCUGCAGAAAAACUCUGAACAAAAUCAAAGGAAAUACACAACACCAAAAGAUGGAAAUUUCACUUCGAAAUUCGCCGCUUCGCCUUUCGCUGAAAAUUUGCGCCUUCUCGCGACAGUAAGAAACUGUCGGCUCGAAAUGAGUCGCGAGAAAAAGACAUUUGACAGCAUAGAUCUAUUGCUGCAACUUUACCUGCUCAUGAUAUACAAUAAGUGUAGUCUCAGCAUCGAUAUGUAAUCAGGGAGUUAAGAAACAGUGAAGUUGUAUGAACAACAACCUGAGAAGCUUUUCCUCCCUGUGCUGUGAGACUAGCCUGGCACUUCUCCUCCACCAGCUUAUCUCGCGCUCUUUCUCGCGAAGAUCUCGCUCCGCGCACUCCAACGCGGACUCGAGCUCGGCAAUCCGCUCUUUCUGCCUUGUUUCUAACAGCUCGUGCAAUCUCCGCUCCAGUUCGCGCGCGGAUACGCCACUGUGAGGAGGGCUUUGUUCUUCUGCCAACUCAUUCCCUCCACUGUAGUGCUUCUCCUGAUUUAUAUGAUGCCAAAGCUUUAAAGAUCUUCUUCAAACAUGCAAUUGUGUUAAGUUAUAUUCGAUCGACUAUUCGAAUUAUCUAUCUUAGAGAUUUUGCUUCAUGCAGAUAAAAGAACAUGUGUGAGCACCAAAAGUGAUCUAAUUUUGAUAUAUAAACACUAAAAAACAAUCAAACAAAAACUUGUAAGUGAUAAAAAAUACCGAAAUAUAACACAACCAUAUAUACUGGCCAAUAUAAUUCAAGUGGUAUAUAAUAUAACAUAAGAUUUUCUUUUCUGCAAUUAAGCUUACCUCUGUUUCGUCUUGUCGAAGAUGCACCGAUGAAUUUUUCUCUUCGACAUUGAGCCGCAGGCGUUCCAAUUCAACUUCAAGCAGCUCUUCCUCCAUCUUAUCUUUACCUCCUCCAGUAUUAUCUCUGACAGCAUUUUCUGCACUUUCCGAAAAUUUGUAAGAAAUGCAAUUGCUUAUGCUGCCAUAUUCAUAACAAUCUGAGUGAGAGAUCAGAGCAGUUUUCGACUCCGCGACGCUAAAAGAGACAUCUUUCUUGUGAUCAAUCUCAUUCUUAAUGUCUGUAAGUAAUAUCUCCAUUUGUUUUCGCAACUCCACCAUCUUGUUUAAUUCGACCGCGCUCGUCGCGAGAAGAAGAACUAGACCUGCACCCAUGCCAAGAUUCAGAGGAACCCCUUCCUUGCCUUUCCCUAGAAUCGCGGAAAGAGGAAUUAUCAGCAAUGAUACUUAAAGCUUUUUAACUCGUAAAAGUUCGAGGAUGAAAAUGAAACUUUAGACUACAGGUUCAGGGAUUGGUAGUGCAAUUUACCCAGAUAAAAAGUACAUCAAGAAACAUAGUGUUAGUUUUAUAUAUCAGUACAUAGUGUACUGUAAGAAAAGGGAGAAAAAAAAAUAAAAAUAAACACCACAUACAAGAAUCUAUUAGGGCCUGUGAAUAUCUUUAUUUGGUAAAUCAACUUAAUUAACUAACUCAAAGAGUUUAUACAUUUGAAUGACAAGGUGUGUAAUCAGAUAUGUUUAGAAUGAAAUAUUGUAUUCUGACUAUAAAUUAUAUUUUCAGAAUAAAAUAAAUCUCAUCGUAGAUAAAAUAUACUAUUCUAUCGAAUCAUGAACAAUAAGAGGUUUGAAAAGUUGAAAUCAAACUUCUUACCUACAAUUAUACUAGAAGAAUUCUCGUAUAGAAUAAGUUAUGCAAAGUUAACUGUAUUAUAAUAAUAUUUUAUGACGCAAUCUAAAACCAUUCAUCAAAUCCAUCCAUUCUAUAACAAAUAAAUCAAAUCCAACAAUCAAAUCCAAUCUACAACUAUAUAUCAAACACAAUCCACACAUCCCGCGGGCUACAAAUCAAACAAAACUGUAUAAAAUCAGCUUGCUCGUUCUGAUACCAUGCAUGUUAUCUAAAAGAUCGAUAUAACAAAAGGCUAACAAGAAAUACUCAUGACACUUACAAACUUAAAAAGAAGAGAAAGGAAGCCUCUCCAUACCUGAAGAAGCAGAAGCAGAAGAAGAAGAAGAACCCUCCACCUCUCUUUCUUCUUCCUCCUCUUCCUCUCCUUCCUCCACCACCACCACCACCUCUUCCUCUUCCUCUUCCUCCUCUUCAUUCUUCUUCUCCCUCUUCCCCUUCCCAUAAGCACAGUACCCCGGAAACCGCACUCGGCACCCGACCCCUUCCCCGCCGCUGCUGCUCCGUCCCGGAGACUGCAGUCGGCGCGAGAGGAGGACUCGAAUUCGGGAGAGCAGCGACCGCGGAGAGUAGUAGUAGUUGGAGUUGUAGUAGUAGUAGUAACACUCAGAAGGAGAAGAGGAGGAGAUAGAAUUGAAAUGAGGAGUUGGAGAUUGUUUAGCGAAAUGGUCACUCCUUCUACUUCUCCUCUUGCCCUCCAUCUCUUCUUCUUCUUCUUCUUCUUCUUCUUCUUACUCUCCUUUCUCUUCUUCUUCCUCUUUGUUGUCUCCUUGAUAAUGCACAAGGACAAUGCCUAUUCUCAUACAUGCACAUGUGUGUGUGUAUACUAUAUAUAUAUAUAUAUAUAUAUAUAUAUAGAGUAGGACUACUGUGCUAUUAGGAGCACAGCAGUCCUUAUGCUCCUAAGUUCUUAACCGCCCAUCAAAUUUGAUGGGUGGUUAGGAUAAAAGAGAAAAGAGAAAUUGAAGAGAAAUUGGGUUUCUCAAUUUCUCUUCUCUUUGAAUUUCUCUUCAAUUUCUCUUCUCUCUUUCACCCUAACCACCCAUCAAAUUUGAUGGGCGGUUAAAAACUUAGGAGCACAAGGGCUGCUGUACUACUAAUAGCACAGUAGAUAUAUGUAUAUAUGUAUAUAUAUAUGCUUGUUGGUCCUAUUUAUUGGAUUUGUAUACUAAAAGAAAAAUGAAAGGGCCAUUCACCUCAUCUUCUAUUUUAACAAAGCAAAUAUGUAUGGAGACCUCCACAACUAAAUGUUAUUUUGAAAUAAUAAAAAUUUAUAGAACUAAUCUGAACUACAGAUUAUUUUGGAUUGAGUACUUGACUUUCCAAAAUUUUAUUUUGACUAUCCAAUCUUCCGAUUUACUUGAUUUGCGUCAAUCAUCGGCUACACUUUGAUUUCAAAAAAUAAGUUAAUUAUUUAUUUUAAUAAAUUUAUAGUUGCAAAAAUUACAUAAAGUAUAUUAACCAAGUAUGUAAAGAUAAACGACAUAUUUAAAUUAAUUUUAAAGUCAAAUUAUCAUUGACUAUCAAAUAAAACACAUUGAAAGGUCGGAUCAUAAAGUCAAAAUUUUGAAAGAUUGUAUAGUUUAUUUAAAAUGGUCCAUAGUUUAGAUAAGUUUUGCAGGCCUUUAUCUUUUGAAAUAGCCCCAUCAACUUUUUAGCUAAAAAAUUUGAAAUUAUACAAUAUCAGUGAAUCAAAUUUAAAAACUAUUUACUUUAUUGUAAAUAAAAUUAGAUUGAUUAAUUGCUAAUAACUAAUUACACCAUAAAACUUGACAAAAAAAAUUGACUUAAUCAGCUAAAGAAUAAUUAAAAUUUUAAAAAAAUUUAAAAAAUAUCUCAAUAAAAAAGAAAAUAAGGUGAGGGGCCUAUGGUUGAGGGGUUCUCCACUCAUUUUAUUUUAUCCUUUAUUAUAUAUUAAUAAUUAUUAAUGAAUAUGACCCAAAUGUGGGAGAGAGAGAGAGAGAGAGAGAGAGAGAAUCAAAUCGUGGGAGAUAUCGUUGUAUUAAUAAAUGGAGGGAAAUGGGUGGGGACCCACCACGCGACAAGUUCCCUUUGCUUCUUGGCGGGAAACGAUGCCAAGAAGUGCCACGUCAGUUUUUUUAAAUUAAUAAAUAUUAAAUACAUUCAUAUUUGUAAAUAUAGGGAAUUAUAAAUAUAUUUCUAUAAAAUUUAUAUUUUUAUAUAUUAUCUCUGUAUUUUUUUAAAUAUUUUUCUCUACCUUGUUAUCGUUAUAGAACUGUUUUAUAUUUCAAGUAAAAUAUAAAUUUUACUAUCACAAAUAUGUCCUUACAAAAAUCACAACAGUAUAAAUAAGAAGGACAAAUAUGUCAAGUUAUCUCAUAAAUUAACUAGAGUUAAGUAUUUAACUUAUAGUUAAUUAAAGUUUUCUAAUAGAUUCCAACGGCAGGGACAUAUUUAAAAAUAUUAGGAUUUUUGUAGAAACAAUAUAUGAAAGUUGAACUUUAUAGGGACAUAUUUAUAAUUCAUAUAUUUGCAGGAACUUGUAUGAAAUUAACUCUUUUUUAUUUAUGUUUGUGGCUUUCUGGUCAUCGGAUUGUUUUAAAAUUUGUGCAGUACUAAUUUCAUUAGAUUUUUGUUGCUAAUGUGUAUGAAAUUUAGGUGAUCCGACGACGAACGCAUGUUGAGCAUCGGUGCUUUUAAAAAUAUAGUAGCUCAACUUUAAUAAAUAUUUAAAGUAAACUGUUAUUGUUAAAGUAAUAUUUUUAUAUUGUGUGGGGGCCAAAUCCAAUAAUCUAAGACACAGUUAGAUGUAAUGAGUUUCCUUUGGCAUUACAAAGCUUCAAUUUGGCAAUAUCAGUUCUCAAAUUUAAAUCUCUUUAAUAGAUUUAUCAAUAAAUUACGCUUGUUAGUCACUGCACUUUUAGUAAAAUUUCGUUUAGAUCAUGUCACAAAACUUUAAUUUUGUUUCAAUUAAAUGACUAAACUUUAAUUUUUAUUUCAAUUUGGUUAUUUUUAUUUAAUUUUCAAUAAUUUUUCCAACAAAAUAGUUCAGUUGUCAUAUUAUCUAUCUUUAGAAAAUCACGCAACAAUCAAAAUUAAUACUUAAAAUAGUAAACUAUUAUGUCAUUUCUCAAUAUUGAAAUUAGUGCCCCAUCAUUCCUUCGUAAAAAAUAAAAAUAAUAAAAUUCAAGACCAGUAACCAAAUCACGUAAAAAUUAAAUUUUAAUGACUCGAUUGAAAGAAAUAUAAGUUUGAUGAUCUAACAAGAUUUCGCCGAAAAGUUCGGUGACCAAUGAUGUAAUUUAACCCUGAUUUAUUUAAAGAGAUGAAUUAAAAUCAUUUUGUAGGAGCAUAGGGGACGUAGGUGCUUUUAUUUGUUCGUAUUCUUUUAUUUGUUCGUAUUCUGUAUCAUUUUAAUUUUAGAUUUAUGAGAUGUAUAUAUUUUUUACUUUGAAAUAGGAGACCAUGUAAUGUGCUGCAAGAUUCCAACGUGCGUUCGAAAUGCGAUACCAGUUUUGAUUUAUAAUUUGUACCAUAAAAUUUUAGUUUAUAAUCAGCAUUCACUAAUAGAAUAAAAUAAGAGAAUAAUAUUGAAAAAAAUAAGCAAGCAAUAAAAAGACUUAGAAACACAGCUAUUUUCGAAAAAAUAAUACCAAUCAAUCACAAUCUACCAGGCGGAAUUAAAUAACAUACUCUCUACGAAAUUAACUAUUUAAUCCAAUCGGAAUGGUAGUAUUAGCAGAGUCAUUUUUACUUAUUAAUAGAAAGAUUUCUUACUGAAUUAACUUAAUAAUCAGUGAUAGGAUUUUGACGAAAUUUUAAUUCAUCUAUGUUAAUAAUAACACCAUGCAUUCACUAAUCGAAACGGUGUUAACGUUUUUAUUAUUAUCUAAUUUCAAAGAUACUUGAUUUCUAAUUCCAGAGGCUUUUAUGUUUGAAUCUCCAAAAAUUGGGUGCACAUUUAACACACAACAACUUUGGGGGGAACAAAAGAAUAAUAGAGAGUGACAGAGCUGAGAUAUGUGGAUUGUAAUCUUAAAAGAGAGAGAGAGAGAGAGAGAGAGAGAGAGAGAUAGAGAGAGAGAGUAUGUAUGUAUGUAUGUAUGUAUGUAUGGAUGUAUGGGGUUGGAGCAGAGGAUUCACAAGCAAGGUGUGAGGCAAUUUAUUAAGUGGAGGCAAUAAAAUGCAGCAACUUAUCUGCAUAUGUCUUGUGCUUGUGCAAUAAAUUGGAAACCUCAUUAAUUGUCACCAAUUAUUGGAGCUUUCAUGGGGAAGAGGAAUUGCAUAAAUGAUUGAUUUUUUUUGGGGGGGAAAAUAUAAAUACAAUAAAGUAAUAAAAUAAACAAGGAAAAACUUCAAAACCCCCCUUGUAGUUUCGUACUUUUUUAUUUUAGUACCAUGUGAUUUUAUUUUUGUAUCAAGUUAGUAUCCUAUGAUUUUUAAACCACAGAGUAUUAAAGUGAGAAAGUGCAAAACCAGAGGGUGCUAACUUGAUACACUUUAAAGCAUAGAAUACUAAAGUGAAAAAAUGCAAAACCACAGGAUACUGACUUGAUACACUUUAAACCAUAGGGUACAAAAGUGGAAAAAAGUGAAACCACAAGGGGGUAUUUGAAGUUUUCCCAGUAAACAAAGAAGAAUGAAAAAAGAAUAGGUGAUUUAGGGAACUUCAAAUCUUCAAUGAAGGGGAUCAAGUGGACUCCUCCCACACUCAAAAGUCAAAACUCGAGCUCAGAACCCUCCAAAUCAGACCUCAUGCUUUAUUACUGGAAUCGUUUCUAAUUUAACAUCCCGCAAAAGAUAACAAGUACCCAGCAUGUUCUGUAAUUGAAAAAUAAUAGAGGACUAAUCCACUUAAUAUAGCAAAAAAGAAAAAGAGAAAUAAACAAUUCUAGUUAAAUAAGGUUAUUUUGAGAUAUUUCAGGUGUUCUGUUUUUAUUUGAACUUAUAUAUAUAUUCUUAUGAUCUAUAGCCAAAUAAAAUAUCGAUUGUUGAAUGACCAAGAACAAAAAAAAUCAUAUCCAUAAAAUCUGUCCUGCAAUCAAGCAUAAACUUAAGGGUCGAUAUCAAUUUACUUCCUUGUUGUUUUUAGCAUAUUUUUACUUUAUCACUAUGGUUGUGUAGUACAAUAUAGUAAUUUGCUCUUAUAAAUCUACCCCACGGCAAAAAGUCUACAAUAUAGUAAUUUGCUCUUAUAAAUCUACCCAAUGGCCAAAAGUAUCAAUUUGUUAUGCUAUUUACCGAUAGUUCUUUGUAGUAAAACAAAAAUAAAAAUACGAUCUUUUCUAUAUUCUACAUAGGGACAAAGUGUAAGUUUAUAUUUAAAAGGCGACAUGCAUCUUACACCCCACAUAUUCAAUAGCCACUCGAUGUGAUUACACUCCGAUACUACAAAAAAAUUACUAAGUAUCCAAAAAGGCCCUAAAUUUUUACAUUCGAGAUGCGAAUUGCCAACUGCGAAGCAUGGAAAGGAACACAAGACGCCCAAAGCAAAUUACAACUUGUUUUUUAUGUAGAACAUAACAUAUCACAGGCAUAAGAAACAAAUCUUUUUGCGGUGAAACCGAAAGGAUUUUUGUUAGCUUAGACAAAAAUGGAACAUAAUUAAAAAGAAAGAAAAAAAAUCUAUCAAUUUAUAUGUUGUUAACAUCCUACUGCAUACACAGGAGCAGCAUCUACAAAGACUUUGAUAAAACAGAGCCUUUUUCAAUAACACCUACGCACAAGCAACUAAUCAAUAUUACUCUUGUAUUUGGACUUCACGAGAGACUUAAUUAACAACAAAACGAGAUGAAGAUAAAUAUUGGAUGAACCAAAAUUGCAGAUCUCUGAAAAUCUCUUUUACUUCAUCGGAUAGGUGCAAAAUGUCCGUCUUAAAUUAGAUCUCGCCAAAAUGUCCGUCUUAAAUUACGCUGUCAAAUGGGUGCAACGAAAAAAAUAAGUUAUACAAUAACUCUCUGACUAGACGAACAGAAAACUUAGAACAACAACAAAACUGAUUAUUAUGCUAAAAAACAAACGAUACAACAAAUAACAGUUGGCCAUGUUUCAUCGUCACCAUCAUAAUAUCCGCAGCGGUUGGUUCCCCACUCUGGUUUGGUCCACCUUCAACUUCAUCUUCUUUCGUGCCUUCAUGCUCGCGACAUCCUGGAAAGGAUUCGCCCCGUCGAAUGAUUCCUUACCAUUCUUCACCUUUUUCCUCUUACCGCGAUCGUAUUCCUCGUCCCUGAGAUAUAAGAAGCUAAAUUUACAACCCUUUCGACAAAGCAUAAGCUGAGAAACACAAACGAUAGCUGCAACUACUGUAAACAGAUAAAUUAUACUUAACAUUAUUUUCAUGUUCUAAAUAAAAUCCACAAUAGCAUAUGGGUCUGAGGCAAUGAUAACGGUCGUGCUAUCGGGUCCUAGUUAUCAUGGGUUUGAAUCACAAAAAAGCACCUCCUUGGAUUAUAGGGCAAGUUGUGUCCAUUAGACUGCUCAUCACACCUCAAAGUGUCUCGUAUGCUGGACUGCCUAUUAAAAAAUAUUUUACAAAAAUAGUACAUGUAAACUACGCACGCCACUAGCUUCUAAUGACGAUAGACUAUUACAUUAAAAGAUCAAAAUGCACUGGGUGCAGAUAGCAGAAAUACUACCAUUUGUAAACCAACAAUAUGAAAAUGUUAAUCUGGGCACAUAAUCCAUUUGUUUCACUACAAAUAUAUUGAUUUUAUAUAGCAUCAGCUAGAAGUUAACGAUAGUUGUCAAGCAACCUAAAUGCCUAAAAACUGUCCAGACAAAAUUUUUUGCCUUUCUGGACUAGAGGACAUAUCUUUUUCUGAUAAGGCCCUGCUGUAGGGUAUACUGUUGUUUGAUAAAGUAUUGGUUGAGUAACGACAACGAUAUUACGAGAAGCACAAUACUAAUAUAUUUCCAUUAGCUUCUUUUCCAGUAAUUGGAAGCACCAAAUUUAAGCUUCUGCCUUUGAGGCUUAGAACCUCAUUUUUGGGUUCCCCUGCAUUAGAAGCCUCAAAACUUUCCUGCUGCCACUGAUCUACCAGAGCAUGGUGUGCCGAAAGCAAAAAAAAGGUUUCUGCUCCAACAAUCAUUCACCCAUUUCUGCAAAUACUUUCAAGGCAAAUGUCACACCCCAAUAAUCCCACAUCAGAUAGAAAUGGGGAAUGUGAUUGAAUAUAUAAGAAACUUAGAUACUAGUAAUAAUAACCGGGCUUAAGCAUUUUGGGCCGGUGGUUUGGACCCAAUGAGUUAUUGUUACUAGUAGGCUGGGUCGUUACAUUUGGUAUUAGAGCCGGUUCACCAGCCGAAGAUGUGUGACGAGUCUCGGCUGAGCCAGGGCCUGAAAGAUAAGGUAAUAGCUAUGCCGGAGUCUGAAUGACAAAGUGACCGGCUAUGCCAGGGUCUGGAUGACAAGGCUAGUAAGACAAGUCUCACAUUGCCUGGUGAUCUUGGGCUGUGUGUGUGAUUGGUGACGAAGACGUCAGAACCUUAACGGGAGGAGUCUGUCACACUCCAAUAAUUUCACAUCGGAUAGAAAUGGGAAUGUGAUUAAGUAUGUAAGAGACUUAAAUACUAGUAAUAAUAACUGGGCUUAAGUAUUUUGGGCCGGUGGUUUGGCCCAACGAGUUAUUAUUACUAGUGGGCUGGGUCGUUACAGCAAAAUAGUCUUAAAAAGUCCACUCAAAUUUGAGUUCGCUUUUCACGUAAAAACUUUCAUGCCAACUGCUCGUUACAUAUUACAUCACACCACACCAAAUAACUCCAAUGAUAAAAUCAAACGAUCAAUGUUCAUCUAAUAUCUGAAAUAUUACAUAUUAAACCAGAGAAUUCUAAGCAAGCACAUGAAGCCUACUCAAGCAGUUUUAAUAACUGUAUUAUUGUUUGACUCCAACUAAAUUUUAAUUUAAAAAUUCAAUCUCCAUUCACAAUGCACCCUUUCACAUGAAUUUCAAUUGGAUGAAUUUACAAUGCUCCCUUCUACUUAAAUUCCAAUGGCAAGCAUGUGACUGCCCCCUUUCACAAUGUGGAACAGUGUGAUGUAUUUACUUCUUCCAGUUUAUGUGUAACAGACUCCUCUUCAAUGCAUUCAGGGAGUUCAAAAGAUGUACAACGGUGGAAUGCGGGAUGUACUUACUCCUUUCAGUUUUUGUGUAAACAGACUCCUCUUGGUUGCAUUCAGGGAGUUUUAAAGGGAUGCCUCUUAUAAAGUAUAGAUUCAACCACAUCCCCAGUUCUGAUAUUUAGGACCUUUAGCGCAAGCUUGUCAAACUAACAGCCAAUACUGAAGCUUGGCAAGAACCAUCUUCUCACGAUAUUUUAAUGUAUUUUUUAUAUAUUAGCAAAGUUGUUUAUAUUUAUUCAUUUAGCAAAUUGUCUACAACGCCCUUUAUGGACUUUCGGUUUUUUUUUUUUCUUUUAUACUGCAGCCUAAAUACUAAAGAGUGAAAACUUACUUCUUUCCUAUCCUCAGAAAGUAAAUUCAUGUCUCCCUUUAUGGAAGUUACACUGGUGCUAUUAAAUGGUCAAUCAUUUUUUGUGAUUACAUCUUAAAGGGAACUUCAGUCAUUUAGAGAAUUUAUCUCUUUACAUUGCUCAAAAUGGUUUAUUAGUUAUUACCAGUUUGUUUAUCCAUGUUCACUAUGUCAGUUUGAAAUUAUUUUUUUUGCUUUCCAUCCAGAGUGAUAUAAGAAGCAAAGAAAUUAUUCAUAAUCUCUCUUUCAGAUAAUUAAAAGUUAAAACAAUUCCGGGCAUUGCAUAGGCAACAAACUUGACAUAUUAAAACCCCCACAUUUGUAGAAUUGUGCAAACUAUCAUCUUUAGGAAUCUAAUAUUAACUGGCUAUGAAGAGAACUGCAGAAAUUCCUAAUUUGUGGGUAUUAAAACAAAAGCAUAUAACUCAUCAGGCAAGGACAUAGUUAAUUGGCGAGAAGUGUCAAACGUUUAUAUUUAUAUAUCAUAGUUUGAACUCAAAAAUGAUAAUUUAAGUUGAAGAUCAAGAAAGUUUACCAUUCAUCCAGGACAUAACCAAUGCUUUUCUUUACUGAACUUUCUACCCUAUGCAGAUUUUCUGUCAUUGGCAAUUCUAUAUCAUCCCAUCGUGCAACUGCAUGCAGAAAAAAAGAAAAAGAAAAUCCCACAGUAAUACAUAAGAUUCAGGCAAGUACACAACACCAACAUGAAAAGAACAAUACAAGACGAGCAAAAAUGAAAAAAAGCAAUUGUUAUGCAAAUACUAACCAGUGGUUUCAGCUAAUCCCCUGGUGAGUAAACUCACCAACUCGUGCUGGUGUGUACCUUUAUCAUGUGAAUCAGUUUUACUUGACUUGCACUGAUCUGGCGCAUGGUUCAAGCAUAUUUUAGGCUGCUCAGAAGUACCAAGAGUGACACCAAUCUUUCGCUUUGUCUCAUCUAAUAAUUGAUCACUGGUAGAAUUACCAUUAGACUGAUUUCCAUUUUCUACUGUCUGAACAUUAGAAUCAGUUAUCAACCGAAACUGCAAGCUUUCACAGUGAGGGUGCUUGGAAGAAUUUACACUUAUGCUAUUAGUAGCCUCAGAUGUUGAUGUUCCUUGAUCGCUUACUCUUAAAUGAUCUGAAAGUCCACUUUUCAUGAGGUGUUUGGAACCUAGACAUCUUCUUUUUGUUCUCUUGAGUUUCUUCUUUUUAGCCAAAUUUAAUGAACUCAUAAAUAGUUGUUUCCUGCCAAAAUACUUGCUCUUUAAUAGAAUUUCUGGAAGUUUCUUCAAUUUUGUACCCAUUUCAUGGCAAGUACGAAUUGAUGUUUCAGGGACCGAUUCUGCAGCAAGUUCCUUAAGUAAACCAUUUGGAAUGUUUUUUUUAUUUGACAAUUUGAUAAGUUCUGGUUUCUCCACUUUAAGAAGGCCUUGGCCACCAUUCUGGUUUUGUAGAUUGCAUGAACGAACUUCAGAACUAAUUGCCUGGAUAAGUAAAAUCAGCAAAAACAUCAGUUCUGAUUUAACAACAAACACUAAUAGACGCUACAAUCUAUAUUUAUCUACCUGGUAUUUUGCAGCUGACAAAUUGCUGGUGCUGUUUUGAACGAAUCCAUUAGUAGGAGCUGACACACUCAAAUUUUCUUUCAAUUUAGCUUUCAAUUUCCCCUGGUGGGAUGCAUCAUAAUUUUGAAAUAUUCCGUUAGCAGCAGCAUCACUCUAGCAAGGACAAAGGGAGCAGACUUUAAAAAAAGAUAAACUAGCAUUCAUCCCGUUACUCUACCUGAGCGCGCACCACCCCNAAAAAAACACUCAUGAAAAGGUAGGAAAAAUGAAGUUUUACCUUGCAGAUAUCAGGUUCCAUGACAAGUGUCUUGGCAAGAACCUCAGAUGUAGGUUCAGGAAAUGCAGAGUUCUUUGACCCAGCAUGAAGGUAGUUUGACUUCACCUUCACAUCCAAACAAUUAGAAUCAUUUUCAGGCUCAAAAGAGGUAUCCUUUUUAUGAGAAGGUAUCACAAUAGGAUUGUCCUUUGGUUGAUCUUGCUUUGAGGAGUCGUCUGCCACCUUCUGAUCAGUAUUGUCAUUUGCAGCCACAGAUUCUUUCAAACAAUGCCCCAAUCCUUUAGAAGAAACAUUCCCAUUUAGUUGCAAGUUAGAAGAUUGAUUUGCACAUGACACGUUUUUGUUUGCAGAUUUUGGGGCUUCAUCCAGAUUUUCAUUGCCGCCAUUUCGCACAGAAGAUGCUGCCUCUUGCGAGGACUGACUAAAUUGUAUUUUUAUCAUAGAACUAGGCUGACAGCUGAUGGUAGGAUCUUUUUUCAAAUUCACCAUACUACAGAUGGAAGUGCUUAUUUUUGUUCCUGCCCCACCAUUUUGAUUUGCUCCUUUAGUGCCUGAGACAAUUUCACAGUUUGCUCUGUUUCCAGGGCCACAUUUAGAGAGGCUAUCCUUCUGCACCCCAUCAACUGAUCUUUUCACGAUCAAACUUCUAUCACGUACAUAGAAUAGCAUAUAGGCUUUUUGAGACAAUACAGUCUUCUCACUGACUUGGUGUACCUAUAUUUGAAUGUUUUAAAGAAAAGUCAGCACAAAAACCUAGUUGGCAACUUUCAUAACUUGAAAAUUUCUCAUUUCCCUUUAAUUCAUUGUCCUCCUUUUUGCGCUUAAGAUCCAUUAUGCACCUACUUGGAAAGGAUCACAUUUUAUACAUUUCAGACAACUAAAUGGACCAUCAGUAACUCCUCUACCAGUACUUUCCAAGUAUAUUUGCUAUUUAAGUUACAAGGAAGGAUAUAAACUCUAAUCUUAGAAAAUAGGACAUCACUGCCAACGUGUAGAUUAGCAGGAACAUACAUAUAUAUAUAUGCAUAUGCCUGCUGAUUGAAUCACAGAGUUGUUAGCAUGAUAUACCGGUAAGAUAUCAAAGUAAAUAGCAAUCAAAAUUCAAUAUUAAGGAAUCGUAGGCUUACAAAAUGUCCUCAAACUUAACCUGAUUAUCAUCAAGAGAAUGCCACAUGCCACUUGAUGUGCGUACGAAACAAUAAUAAUGACCAGAGUGGGUAUUCCAACCAGCAUGAACUAGGACACCAUAAAGGGUAUAUUUCAAGUCUCCCUCCUGCAAAGAUUACUGAAGAUUAUAGAAGCAAGAAAGGCAAAUGAAAGAGCAGCUGAAGCAAACCCAACAUUACACAUGCUUACUCACAUUGGGAUCGCUAACAAAUGGUUUCAAGUCGAUCCUGGGUUCAAACUCCACUUUUCUGUCAAUCUUUUGACCAGCAAUAUGAGAAUCAAAACGCUUGAGAUGAAUGGUGAGCACAAACGGAGCCUUAUUAAUCGUAAGCUGUUUAUAAGCCCUAACUUUCUGUUUGCACCGCUGACACUGAUAUUGCCUCUCCCCACCGUCAAGUUGCUCCAGCCCAGUGAAAUGUUUAAGUGCUUUAUGUAGAGAAUCAGCUUUCGCAAUUUCCAGACUCAAAUCCAAGAAUGGAUCAAACGUAUUCGAACAAUAGGAACACUGCAUACAUUUUACCUGCAGCACAAAUACAGAUAAGUCAAAACAGAUUACAAAGAUGGCCUCUUUCCUCUAUAAUACAUUUCCAAAUAAAAAAGAAAAAAAACCUAAGGCACCUGGCUUCUAAGACGACCGCCAAAAAUCUUGUAAACUAAACUUCUCUCAUAUGCACUAGGAGACUCACUUGGGACACCAGAAGGUAAACAACAUUUAUGCAUUGACUCAAGCAAGUUAAUCAUGUACUCAUGAGCAUCUUCCUGUCUGAAAUUCCGAAAAUUGCGAGAUAUGCCUGAAAGUAUAGUCAAAAGGUUGCAAUUCUUAAGUAGAGUAAAUCAACAGCAAGCAGUACAGAAAUAUAAGUGGAUCUAAUCAUUCAAAAAGUUUUUUUUGGGAGGGAGAUGGAAUCCAGGACACAAGUUUACAUCGCAAGUUCUUGACAAGAUGAGAUGGUGACAAUAUCUUCCCGGUAGAUUGUAGAGCAUGCAUAACAUGAUUCUGAAGAGCACACAUUGCACAGAAGCCAGCAGUACGGCCUAUAAAAGAUGAUGUGAAGUCAAGUUGACGAUCCAUAACAUGUGAAAAUGAAAAGCGCUAUAGUAAGGGAAGCCUAUUUUAUGACUUCCAUUCAAUUUCAGUGAGCACACAAAAGUUAAGUAGAAUGAUAUGCUCCACAUGCAAAUAUAAAUAGUUCCAUUGGAUGGAAAAAGAUGUGGUUAAAUAUCAGAAGAGAUAUUUCAAACAAAAUCGAAGGGUAAUCAACAGAAUCACAUAUACAUCUACACAAACUUACAUGACGACUUGUGCUUGCCGCUCUGCAAGUACGCUGCAAAAGGCUCCGUGUAUGUCAGGCAUUGGAGAACUGAAUUCAGAAAACAAGUAUUACCAAGAUUCGCCAAACCAGCACCCUGUAAGAUGCCGAACCUUUUCCAAUUUAGCUAGGAAAAUGAACAUUCCAGAUUUAGGGCCUCUUUGGACCACUUUUAUUUCUUUCAACAGCAGUAGUUUCUAGUAAAGCAUUUACUAAACGAAAAAAAAAAAGACGUAGAAAGAGCAUCUACUGCAGAAGAAAGCACAUAAAGAAUAAGAGUUGGGUCCUCAAAAGCAGAAGCUCCGAUCUGAUAAUUCUGACUGUGCUGUAGAAAGAAGCUGUUGAAGGUUUUCAUAUAGUGCUUCUCGUAAUAGCACAACUCAUACAGCAGUUCACCAAACAGCACGAUACCCUACAGCAAGGCCAAACAGGGCCUAGCUACAUGCCAAAUAGAUAUCAAUAAGAGACCACAUGAAUCAGCGCCGAAGCCCUAAAUUUGGUGAAAAUUGAAGCAUCAAAACCAUGUUUUAUACCAAUCUAAACAUGCAAACGAAGCGAUCGAACAAAUCGAGGCACAAAAUCCCAACGAAUAUUACGAAAAAGCCGAAAAGCCCCCUACUCACGAUUCUCCGGAAGGUGAUCCUGAAGCCGAGCUCCGGAUCCAACCCAUGCUCGUAGAACUCCCCGCCCUCCGAUCUCUUCCCCGCCGCAGUGGCCNAGCCGAAAAGCCCCCUACUCACGAUUCUCCGGAAGGUGAUCCUGAAGCCGAGCUCCGGAUCCAACCCAUGCUCGUAGAACUCCCGGCCCCCGGCGCUGAUCGGAGCCGGGGUUUAGAGUUUCGAGGCGAAAUCCGCCGCCGCCAAUCGCGCCCGACGCGGCGGCGGCGGUGGCGGAAGAGGGCUUCCGCGCGGGGUGGAACUCGAUCCUCCUACCGAAUAGCGACUCCACCGUGGGAGCGGGUGCGGCGACGACGGCGGCGGCAGCGGCGGAGGAAUCCUCCGCCAUGGGCGCCGAGAAGCGGGGGAUCGAACAGAGGUUUAGGGUUUUGGGUUAGGGUUUGCGGAUCGGGGAAUGGGGGAGAGGGGUCGGGGGAGAUGGAGAGAGAGAGAGGGUUUUUUGGGCGCCGCUUUUGUAGAGCAGGACGUUUUGCGCGUUUCGAUCCGUCGCUCUCUCGCUCUCUCUCGCCCUCUCUUAAUUGGCCGGUAGAGAAGGAGAUUUUUGGGAGGAGGGUGUGGAUAUAAACCCUAUACCCUCGACAAAUUAUCCCCUGGACCUGGUGUACCGAUAUACACGCACCGCAACUAGAGAUGUCAAUGGGUAUGCAUGCCUGAAAUUUUAUCGGAAUCCAAACCCGAACCCGAACGGAGCGAAUUUAUCUGAUGCUAAACAGCUAUGAUUCGAAUAUGGAUAUCAAAAAUAAAAAUCCGACGGAUAUAGAUUAGGAUAUGAAUUUUGACCGUACCCUACCCAAACCCGAAUUUAUUUUAUAUUAUAUAUAACAUGUAUAUACAAAUAUAGUAUUAUAUUUGAAUUUGUAUUUUAAAAAAUUUAUAUUUAAUGUAAUAUAUUUUGAAAUAUUGAAAAGAGAAAUAAUUGCUUCAGGUUCGAAUUUUCAGGUUCGGGUUCGAGUUCGGUUUCAAAUUUUUGGUCGGGUUCGGGCUUGGAUAUGGACUUUUAAAUCUGUCGGGUUCGAAUUCGGAUUUAGAGUUCGGUUUGGGUUCGGAUUUUUAAAAAUCUACCUCAAAUCCGACCAGUUGACAUCCUUAACGGCAACUAAUAUUUAGUGGCUUACCUUCUUAAUAUAAAAUCUAGCUAAAUAUAUAUAGUCGGAUAUCGUAGCUCCAUAAAAUAUAAUUUUAAAUUUUAAAUUAAAAUAAAUCUCAAAGAAUUUACAUGGAAACAUGCUGAUGAUGUUAUACAAUUAUGUAAAUUUUACUUUCUAUUAUAUUUAGAUUUGGUACAUAUACUUUUUGAAUUCAUUUGGAAUCAAAUUUAACUAAAUUUCAAUCAAAUUAGGGAUAGUAUUUAUUUAGAAAUAUAAAUUUUUUUAUUUGAAAAAAAAUAAUUAGAGUUCAUAAAUUUUAUUCUAUGUAAUUAUACCAAUAGAUUUUCAAAUGAUCUGACAGUAAAUUAUGAGAAUUGGAUGAAAAAUAUUUGUAUUAUAAGAAAUUCCAUCAUAUCCUUUCAAAUUAGUUAAAAUCAUAUUAGUCAAUGAUUCCAAUAAAUCGAUUAAAAAAUUAGUAUUUUAAUUCUCGAGAAAAGUGAUAACCUAAAAUACCCAGAGGGUCAUGUUUGUGAAAUAUUAUGACUUUCGAAAAUGUAUUAUUUAGGCAUAAUCUAUUAGAAAUGAGCAACUAAAGUUUUAUUUUCUUUUAUUUUGAAUUAUUUUAAAUUAUAAAAAUAGAUGUAAAAUUGAAUUUGGGUUUUGUAGGUAGGUAUUUUGGAGUACGGUGCACGGUGGACCGGGUGCACGCAACAAUCUCUUGAUUCCCUGUGGGAUUUGGCCCACGCGCCGACUGAUAAACGGCGAGGAUGGAUUUAGGGCGUGAUCUGAGCCGUCCAAUUAUCGUCCCAUGAGGCUUUUUUUAAGAGAGAAAAAAAAAAUAGCAAACUAUUUUUUUUAAUAGAAAUAAAAUCACCUCUAAAAUUUCAGUGAAUAUUAUUUUUUUAACAUUAAAUAUAUAGAAACCCUUCUAAACUUUAGUUCUCUUGCAAAUAGGCGCGCAAACUUUCAAUUUUAGUAAUUAUAUAUAUUUCUAAAAUUUAUCAAAUUAUUCAAAUUAUAAUGGAUUAUAAUUUUCGAUCCGAACUUUUUAAAUUAUCAUAAUAAAGUUUUACGCUACAAUUUAUAUUUAUUAAGUGGUGAUAAAUUGUCAAUAUGAUUGUAGCAUGAUUAAAAUUUAUGAUUCCCACACAAACAGAAAAGUUGGGGGACAGAAUUUCAGCGGGGAGUUAACUAAAAGACGCCUUAUCGGAGAACCUCUAAUCCACUACCAUAUGUUAAUUUUAUCUCUAUCUAAGAAUUCGUUGGGUGUUUAUUGAAUACUAUAUUCAAAAAAAAAUCUAGAAAAAAAUUAUAACCUUGGAUAGAAAUAAAACUGAUACAUGGAUCGAAUGGAUAGCUUAAUGUUGAGGGAUAAGGAUCGUAGUUGUAGUUAAAAACUACGCCCUACCAUCCAUUGAGCCAAACAGAGCCUAAGUACAAGUCUAGUUAAAACAAGUAGAAUAAAUAUUAAAUUAUAAAAUACAAAAGAUUUAAUACAGAUAUAUACUAAGCAAUUAUAAUUUGUCGGUGCUAAAAAAAUAAAUAUUUCAUAUCAUAGUGUGUCGGCAUACAGAUAUUUUGCGACCAACACAUAUCGACACAAAACUACACGUAUCUUACCGUAUUGAAUCGAUAAUUUUUCGGCAUUAUUCCGCACCACGGUGCUUAAAUUGUUGUAUUAGCGACAUGACAAAAAUGCAAAAAUACCCCAUCUAUAAGGACAAAAUUGGGUCGAGCCCAUACCGAACCUUUGACGAGAUGAGUGGGCCCAAUCCAAUUUUAGUGUAGUAUUUUACAUGGCCCAAUAGUUAGAUGGCCUCUGAGAAGAUAAGCCUUUUAGGUUAAAUUAGGGGCGGCAAAAAUUCGGGUCAAAACUAGAUUGAACAAUUAGAGUAGGACUUGUGUGCUAUUAGGAACACGGAGGUUUUCGUGCUCCUAAACCGUUUUCGAUGAUGGUACUUUUGAAUCGAUGAUCGGCUCCGUUAGACUUGAUCCAGCGUAUUUUAAAUAUUUAGACAAUAAUUUUUGUAGAUUUUCGAUAUCAUUUACCUAAGAAUCGAAAUGAUUCAAAAUCAACAAUUUUUAAUGGUUGAUGUAUGCCGUUCGUAAGUUUUACGGUGAGAAAGUAUUCAAAUCAGAUGAAAUUUUGAUAAAUUUUUUUUUUAUAUUAUUUACUGAAAGAUCAAUAUCUCUGAUACAAAAUUUUAGUGCUAUAUAAUUACUUUUUGCGAGAUUUUUUAUUUUCAGUCAACUCUUUCGAUUGCUAGGUAAAUGAUAUUGAAAAAUCGUAAAAUUUAUUUUCUAGAUACUUCAAAUACGCUAAAUCAAGUCUAACGGAACCAAUUGCCGAUUUAGAAGCUCUAUCAUAGAAAAUGGCUUAGGAGCAUAAAAGUCACCUUGCUCCUAAUAGCGCACAAGACCUACUAAAAUAAUUAUCAGGAAUGCUGAAUAUUAUUACUAUUUACUACAUCCAGAUUCAAUUCGUAUCUAAACUCCGGAUAACAUAUAUAUUCGUGUAAACCAAAUUUCAAAAAAAAAGAAAAGAAAAAAAAAGCAUAGAACUAAAAUUAUUUGAAUUUUAAAAUGAACUAUUUAAAAAGGUGAUGUAACAUAAUUCAACUUUACUAUUCAAUUGAUCUUACAAUUGAUAUUUUUAGUGGUUAAUAUCAGCUGAAUUUGUGACAAUUAAUCACCAGGUAGAUGCUGUUGUAAAUUCCCGAAAUUAGCUUCUUAGUAAUGAUGCGAGAGACCGACCAUCCCUAGGCCCUAGCGCAAGUGGCAAAAAGCUUGGUAGUUGGUACUCGAGGUCCUGAGUUCGAAUCCUAGUUGAUUUACAUUUCCAGCUAAGUUUAUUUUUAAAUAAAAUAAACGAAGCGGGUAGCGUGCUAUCUAUCUCUCAAAUAAAAAAAAAGAAAAAAAAAAAGAGAAAGAGGCGCAUGUGUGAGAAAAGGAAGAGGGUGCGAGAUACCAACAGCAGCGGACAAGGACAGAGAGGAGUGCGGAGUAGAAAACAACGUCAAGGACGAUACUAGCAGAGAGUCUAUCACCAAGGAUGACUUAACAAGCAUUGCAGAGUAACCAAUUAUUCCUAACACAAGUGAUAAAAAAUUUGAUAAUUGGUAUUCAAGCUUCUAAAUUCGAAUUCUAAUUGAUUUAUAUUUCCAGCUAAGUUUAUUUCUAAAAAUAUAAAUGGAGCAGAUAGUAUGCUACAUUUCUCCCUUAAAAAAAAAAAUAAAAAAAAAAUAAGCAUCGCAGCGUAGGCAGGCAAGGAAGGCGGUUGGUGGUGACUACAGGGAGAUCAAUGGAUGUCUCUUGUACGCAGAAGCAUCUCUUGUACGCAGAAGCACGAGAAGAGAGCGAGGGCAUUAGAUCGACCAUUAAGAGAGCAGAAAAGGUAGAUAAGGAGAAAUAGAAGGCAAGGUAGGAACUCACAACAGAGAGAAAUGAAAAAGUUAGAGUUAAUUUCAUACAGGACUAUAAAUAUAGUGAAUGACAAAUAUAUUUUUAUAAAAUUCAACUUUCAUAUAUUGUUCCUGUAAAAAUCCUAAUAUUUUCAAAUAUUUUCCUCUGGUUUGUUAUCGUUAGAGAACCGUUUAUAUUUUCAAUUUGUCUUCACAAAUAUAUCUAUCCAAAAGCCAUAACAGCAUAAUAUAAAAAAGUAAAAAAAUUAAAAAUUAACCAGAGUUAAGUAUUUAACCUAUAAUUAACUAAAGUUUUCUAACAGGUUCUAACGGCAGGGACGUAUUUGAAAAUAUCAGAAUUUUUAUAGAGACAAUAUAUGAAAGUUGAACUUUGUAAGGAUAUAUUUGCCAUUCACUAUAUACAAGGAUUUGUAUGAAAUUAACCCAGAAAGUUAUCUACCCCUGUGGCACCACAUUAUUUAUAUUUCCAACUAAUUAGCUUCGUGUACCACUGUUGUGGUUUCAUAUUUUCUCACUUUAAUUAGUACUUUGUGGUUUAAAAAAUAUCACUUUAGUAUCCCGUGGUUUCAUUUUUCUCUUUCCGUUAUCCCUCCAUUAGUUUUUCCGUUAUACAGUGAUAAAAUUAAAACCAUAAAAUACUAAAGUAAAAAUACGGUAAGCCGCACGGUAUUCAAGUGAAUGUUCAAUAAACCAUAUGUGAGAUAUUUAAAGUUUUUAUAUAUGAUUUAAUGGAGGCGCUGAUGGAAAGAAAAAAAAUAAAAUCAUGGAGUACUGAAGUGAGGUAUUUUAAACCAUAUGAUACUAAAAUGAGAAAGCACAAAAAUUACAUGAAUAAUAUUUUAAUUUUUUUUAACAAAAAAUUAUUAUACUGUUUUUUUCAGAAAAGAUAUUUGAUUUGCUUGAGAGUGAGACACAGUGACAUAGUGUCACUGCUACAUAAAGAGCCGUCUCCUAUAGAGAGAUACCAUUUACUGAUGCUAACAUGGUCUACUCCUUAAAAUCAAGGAAACCAGUAGUGCAAUUAAUCCUUAAUUUAUUGGACAUGUAUUGUAACCUUUGCAUUCAGUAAGUUGUACCAACCAGGACCAGGUUAGUGGUCACCUCAAAAUAAAGCUGCAAUGAAUUCUUCUUCUUAACUACAAAAAUCCUAUAAAACUAUCUCAAAUUUAAUACUACUAUAUAAUAAUAUACAGAGAGAGAGAGCAGGAUUACUGUGCUCUUAGGAGCAUGAAGGUCUUCGUACUCAGCCUUUUUUAUGAUGGAAUUUUCGAAUCGACUAUCUGCUCCGUUAAACUUGAUCUGACGUAUUUGAAGUUUCUAGAAAAUAAUUUUUAUGGCUUUUCGAUAUCAUUUAGCUAGCAAUCAAAAGGAUUUAACAUCACCGACUAAAAAUAAAAAUUCUAUAAAAAGUGGUGAUAUAGUACUAAAAUUUUCAAUUAGAGAUAUUGAUCCUGUUGUAGAUAGUAUAAAGAAUUUUGUAUCAAAAUUUUAUCUGAUUUGAACACUUCUAUACCGUUAAAAUUGAAAACGGCAAACAUCAAUUAUUAAAAGUUAUUGAUUUUAAACUCUUUUGAUCACUAGGUAAAUGAUAUCGAAAAAUUGCAAAAAAUAUUUUCUAGAAACUUCAAAUGCGCUAGAUCAAGUCUAACUGACCGAUCGUUGGUUCGGAAAUUCCAUCAUCGAAAACGGCUCAGGAGCAUGGAGACUUCCGUGUUCCUAAGAGCACAGCAGUCCUACUAUAUAUAUCUAUAUAUAGAGUUCGGCUGAGAUACUAUUGAUAGCACCAAGCAAUUGGUGCUAUCAAGUUUUCUGCCGUUAGAUUUAACCUUUUAAUUAUUUUCAACCGUUAGAUUAUACUAUUAAAUCAAUAACUCACUUAACCGAGGGGGCCGACAUCAUUCUAAACGUACGUUUUUUAAUCCAAGGGCCGAAAACCAGAUAGUACCAAAAGCUUGGUGCUAUUGAUAGUAUUCCAGCAUAGUUCUAUAUAUAUAUAUAUAUAUAUAUAUAGUUGGACUGGGCUACUAUUAGUAGCAAAAUCCUAUUGUUGCUAUCAGUUUUUUAACCUUUGGAUCAAUUCUUUUCAUUAUUUCUAACCAUUGGAUUAAAUAAUAUAACCCAGUAGGGACCACUCAACCCUAAGGGGACCACUCAACUCUAACCGACUAAUAUCAUCCUGACCCUACAAUUUUUCAUCCAAGGGUUAAAAACUUGAUAGUAAAAAGAACGUUUUACUAUUAAUAAUAUUUUGAGCCUAAUGUACUUAUAGAUUAUAGCUAGCGUAUAUAUAUAUUUAUAAUUAUAUAUUAUAUACUAUAUAGCUAGUAUAGUACUAUAUAUUAUAUAUAUAUAUAAUAUAUUAUAGUAAGCUACUUAUUAGUCACUAUGGAUCGGAAGCACGGAGCCUCCCGUGCCUUCAGCUGUUUUCGACGGUGUCGACUUUCGAAUCGAUCGUCGAUCAGUCUCCGUUAAACUGAUCUAGAGUAUUUGACAGUACCCUAGAAAUAAAUUUUAUUGAUUUUACGAAUCAUCUUGCCUAAAUGAACGGAGGGCUCAAAAUCAACAGGCUGAAACAUAAAAUCUUAACAACAAUGUAAUAAUAUUGACAGUAAAAUUUUUAAAAUCAAAGAUAUUGAUCUUGUUUUAUAUAGUAUUAAAAAUUUUCUUAAUCAAAUUCACAUCGAUUUGGAUAUAUUUCUACGACGUUAAACUUGCAACGGCUCACUACGGCCAUUGGAUUUGUUGAUUUUGAGGCCCAUUGCGAUCACUAGCGGCAAAUGAUAAUCGAAUACAUAAAAUUUAUUUCUAGGUUACUCCAAUACUCUUAAGAUCAAGUUUAACGGAGCCGUUAUCAACGAUUCUAAGUCGCCAACAUUAGAAAACGGUUCGGAAGUAUGGAAGGCGUCCGUGCUUCGAUGCCAUCUAGUUAGUCUCAUCUCUCUCCUGCUCUUUCUCUCUCCUCUCUUCUUCUCGUCUCUCUCUCUCUCUCUCUCUAUAUUAUAUAUACUAUAUACUAUAUCAUGUAUAGGAUAUCAUAGUAUAUAUACUACUCUAUAAAGCGAGUCGUGAGUUUUGAAUUGUUUCCUUUUUCAAAAAAUACAUCUAUCUUUUUGAGCUAAUAAUUUUCAUGUCAGUAAUUUUCAACCAAUCAUUUCAAAUAAUUCACUAAGUAAUAAUUUAUUCUCAAAUAAAGAUAUUAAUUUUUUGCCAUUAGAUCUUAUUUAACGAUUGAAAAUAAAAGUAUCUGUCACUUUUUGUGACAUUAAUACCCUCCAUAUCCGUUAUCUCCUAUAUACGCCGCGUUUCUCAAAUAUUUUCUUUUUACCCAUCAAUCAUGUAAUACGUAAAACUAAAUUUAUCUCUUAUCUAAUGUAAUACCUACCAAUCACAUAAUACUUCCGCUAAUUACGUAAUACGUAAAAUUAAAUUUAUUUCCUAUUAAUGUGUUUUCUCAAAUAUUUUUUCUUCUCAAACGUAAUACCUGCCAAUACGUAGUAUUCAAAAUUAAAUUUUAAAUUUGUAAUACCCGCCAAAAUUUAAUACCCUCGAAUUUGAUAAUUUGAAUUUUAAUUUAUAAUAGUAGAUUUUUUCUUACAUAAGAUAGUAAAUUUAAUUUUGAUAAGUAUUAAAAUUUGGCGCAUCACAGAAGCGUUAAAUAUUGUCAAAAAACUUUUAAUACCCUCAAAUCAAACUAAAUCGUUAAUUAAAUAUAAUUUGAAAUAUUUUUAGCAAAAUAUUCAAUAUUUAAAUAAUGCGUCAUAAAAGUAUAGAAUAUUUCAAUCAAAACUAAAUCGUUAAUUAAAUAUAAUUUUAAAUAUUUUUAGCAAAAUAUUUAAUAUUUAAAUAAUACCCACCGAAAUAUUUAAUAUUUGAUCUCAUUCUAACCUAAUUGGUAGGUCUACGAACGCAUCGGUGCGCUUGGUUCGGCGAUACGACGAGCGUGCGCAAAGAUAUUGGAGAAAGAAGCAGAAAUAGUACAGAUCGUCGUAGCUCGCGGUGAACAAGUCUAAAAAUCGUGAAAUCGAAUCUACGGCAUCCUUGUGACACAUAAAGGUGGGGGAUGCUAUCCGGAAACACCGGAUCUCUUUCUAUGUCUAUAUCCUUUCUUUUAGCAUGUUGAUAUUAUCGCAUUUUUGCAUGUAGGGUAGUGAGGGUAAUGAACGGCAUAUGUUGGUUGUAACAAUUAUCUGCGUAAAAUUAUUGUAAUGAUAUAGAACCAUGUGGACAAAGAUAGUGAAAGACCCUAUAUGCAUGUGAAUGUGGGAAAUGACUGUGACCGUAGUAAACAAAGGCGACAUUGACAUUAGUGACUCGAUUGACAUCGAAAAGAGAAUAGUGAAACAAGGUUUAACCUAAGUGACGCUAUGUAUACUGUGGCAUCAGGACCACUAUGAUAUCGGCAAAUGAAAGUAUGUGCAUGAAUAGGUAUUGACCAUUCAUCAGCAUUGAGACAGUGAGAAUUGUGACAGGUUGGCCAUACCUCCUCAAAUUUGAGGAUGGGAUCAUACUCACAUGUAUUAGUUCCGGCUUGUGCGAGGUCGCUCCUCCGCAAGUGGUGUACUCCGGAGAAGAAAAGCACCACGGGUGGACGUGCCCGGCGAAGAUCCUUCGGGUGGUUGUGCCUUGUGCCUCCCCCGUUAGACGGGAUAUGUGGACUGUGAGUUGGGGUAAACCAGGAGCACCCCAGGUUGAUUUGGUAAAGGCCAAAGGAAAGUGAAAAGGACAUGCAUGCAUAAUAAUCAUGUAUUUGUAUAUGAAUAUCUAUCUGUGGAUUGUUUCUUGCAGGUAUUGUAUUAGAAGUGCAUUAGUUGGUUUGUUAUUCUUCUUUAUUGAAAUACACAUGCCUGAAUUAGACCUAGUGGGCGAAUCGACGUGGUCGGCGGCCGAACCCACUGGGAACUUCGUUCUAGUUCUCAUUACCACUAACCCUGUAGAUCCGUACGCGAGCGGGGUGGCGGAGGAUCGAGGCAAGGGGGUCGCGCCGUAGAUAGCGGCCUCGGAGUUAUAUAGGCAUACCCUACAUUCGGUGUACUCAACUUUUGUAUGUUGAAAUAGUAAGGUGAAAAUGAUGUAAUGUAAAGAUGAUGUAAAUUACCUUUUGGUUAAAGGAAAUCGUGAUGUAAAUGGAUAUAAAUGAAUGUAAUAGACUACUUGUGUUUGAUUUAAAUGAAAUCAAAUGACAUGUAUAUUGGAUGAUUAGUUAGUUUCGAUGCUUUCACUGUGGUUGUUGUUUGCCCUCGUGUAAACCUUGUAUAUUUCGCAAUUCUCUUUUGACUUGCUUGUAAUAUACUUGUUGUUGAAGCCUUAGGCGGACAGGAAAGGUACUGUCCUUUCGGCGUCUGUCAUGUGCUCAAAUCCGACCAAAUUGGCGAAGCUCGGGGCGUGACAAUUUCAGUUUUCUUAGAUACUGUAGGAAUGGUUGUCCAAAUCAAUCACUCUUUAUUUGUAUGGUGUUAAUCGUCCUAAACAUGAAGGUAAAGUGUUUUCCUUUUUAUCAUUUCACAUGAAAAAAAUUAUUAAUAACUAAUUAUUUGAAUGGAUUGAAGUAUGAGUCAAAUUAGAUUUAUCCUCUAGAACAAGAUAGUGCUAACACACAUUGGCAUGUGGAGAGGGACUAUUGCAAACAAUUCAGUUGUUAUAUUAACAGCAGUGCACGUUAAUAUCGAUAAUUAGGAGAAAUAUACUUUUUAAUAUUUUAUUUUUUCUAUAGUAU
rnacentral:lncRNA from 1 species